CAAGAUGUCUUCAUGAUGUAAGUAAUAUGCCUGAAGUUGUGAGAUGGGAAGUGAAGUCAACAAAUUACAUUAACGGAAAUGCAUGGAAGGCCACACAUACGUAUUAGUCCAUGAUAUGCUACAAAGCUUGUAUGUACAUAUAGCAAAUUAAAUGCAUUAAUUGAAUAGAGUGUGUUUAGUGAAUUUACCAGAAUCGUCCAGAAAACAUGGGAAACAGCAAGUGUUCUUGCAGACUGCGUCGGAGGCACCCGCACGAAUACAAAGCUGACAACAUAGUUUUGCCUGGGCGGAUGCGCAGCAGCCGCACUCCGCCGCGGUGGGGUUAACAUUGAGGCUCAAGAUGACCAGGCACAUGAUCACCAUCAAAGUGGUAGUCCUCUUUCCCUCCAUUGCCUCCUCUUAGCUUGCUGCUACCUUCCUUGGUUACCUAGCUAAGUUUAUUGGUUUUGUGUUGAGAGGUGUGAUUUUUGAAUGGACGUUGCCGGCGGCAAUUUAUAGGCAGCUGAGCUAUGUGAUGAUAUGGACUAGGUGCAAAUGGGUGGUUAAUGGCAAGGAAAGGGGCGUCAGACAAAGCCCAAUGGCAACUGCUGACAUGCGAUUAAAUUCAGAUCCACAUCCGGCCAUUCAAUAAUACGGUUGGAGUUGUGGCACAGAUAUAUUAUUGCAUGAUCAUCAAGAUAAGAUCGUACAGUGACUGAGUGAGACAAUAAAUAGCCAAGUAAACUAUUUUAUCCUGCUGCAAGCUGCAUUCAUAAGUUUAUUUCACCUUUGAUCACAAUACUCUUCACACACGUACGUCUCAGGGAGAUCUCACUUCCGCUGGACUGCUCACUUCCGCUGUCGUCGGUACUGCCAAAGACAUAAGCUCACAUCUGCUAUUGCGGAGCAGGCCAAUUUGCUGCGGAACUUCGGCGACGACCUGAAGGACAUGAACUCGGUGCUGGAGUCCAUCUCAGCAGCGCUCUAGGACGCUGACACCGGUAGAAAAACGACCUUCCAUCGUCAACAAAAAUCCCGGUAGCUUUUUUACUCGGUACUAAAGAGGUUUUAAUCUCGUGCAAACACCUUUAGUCCAGAUUGCUAUUACCACGCAACCCGGACUAAAGCGUCCCCCGCGAGUUAGUAUAUAAGGAUUGCAUCCUUUACUCAGUCAGAUAUAAUAUGUAGGUGAGAUGGUAAGGAAGCUAUGCGUGAGGCUUCAGGUUGUGGGUUCGAAUCCAAGUGGGUGCAGCUGUGGCUUAAGCGGCUGAGGCACGCCGCCAUAGACAUCUCAGAUUUGCUCGAAGACUACCAAGACACUAGUGAACCCUUAACAGUAAAGGUGAGUACUUAUGAAUGUCAGCAUCCAUGUUGUCCAUGCUUCCAAUGUAAUAACAAGAUGGACUACUCUUCCUAGCGGACUCUUCACAACCACUCGUAAAGCUAUGCGUUUCUCAAUGCAAUUUCGUAGAAGCCAAUCGAUCCAACCAAGUGACUAAAUCAUUCGUCCUUUCCAAUGAUGUGCAUCAGGUUUUCUAUAUGAAGGGCAUGUCUAGCAAACCUAAGAUUUCAGAAGAAAAAGAAAAAUCAUUGGAGCCAAAGAGCCACAUAGUUCUUCUAGGAAAAAAAUCAUGGGAGUCGAGAACAUAUCAAACCAAUCAGGGGAUUAUGGUCAGCUUAAUGGCAUGCCUCCAUUCGAUGUCGAAGUUCACCCAAGCAUCAUGUUAGCCAAACAUCAAAUGUUCGUGCGUUGUUACGGUAAAGAUCAAUUGUGUUUUUUAAACUCUUGGAAUUUUUUUAUCUAAGUUUUUAUUUACACUUAUUGGAUGUCUACACAUUUGCUAGAAAACUAAAAUAAUUUGGACUUAAUUAUUUCUUUCAACUGAAGUACUCACUAAAUUUCUACCUUUUUAUUUAAGCAAGAGAGUUGCUAAAAAAAAUGGAUACGUAACCAUGUUGUAUCAUACAAAGUAACCACGUUUCACAUAUAGUCCGGCUUAGCAAACACCAUUGUUUUCUGAACAUAGCGUACAUGAGUUAACAGACAUGGAUUUAUUUCUAUUGCAAGUAGCAUAGCGUACAACCUGCCUGCACCGAUGCAGCUCAAUAUGCGAUAAUUUUUAUCUUCCCAUGUAAUUUUUCUACUCUAGUACAUAUUGAACUCCACAUUAAUGUCAUGUUCUUUCGCGCCCCAGAAGGUUCCUAAAGUUUGGAAACUUAAUAGAUAGCCAGAAUUUUUUUUAAAGAUAUUUAUAUGGAUACUUGUAUGUUCUUUCCAAACUAACAAUAUUGUUUACCAAUAUCAGAAGGAAUAUGGUUAGGAGCCAUUGCCGCAUAUGGCAGGUGAUGGUAGAUGGCGUAUGGGGUUUCGUUAAUUUAAUGGUAUAAUAAGCUGAAAUACAUUUUCUAUUUGCAAAUGAAUCAUAGCUGAAAUUGGUGGGAUUGUUUUUUCGCCGGUUUAGCAUCCUGUGCACCAGUUCAACCGGAGGGAAGCUGUUUUUUUUCUUUGGUUUUCCACCGGUUCACCGAGACCGAUGACAAUUUUAUGGCAGAAUCAUUACUUGUUUUACUAUUAGGUGAAGAUUUUAGCGUUUAGGUAUCUCACAUUAAACGCAACUUCAACAAUCUAUUUCUAGUGUAUAAUGUAGGAGACCCCGUAAAGAGUCUACACACACAUAUAUGUUGACUAUGAAUGUAAGUUUGUUGGUUUUAUGUAUGUUCGUUUGGAGUUUAUAUAAAUUUUACAUUUUAUAGUUUUGUGUAUAUGACGAAGAUCCAUGACUUGCAUUAAUUUAGCCUUUCUUCCAACAACUCUUAUGCAUGCUGUUUCUAGGCGAGCGUACUGGUUGCAAUUUUGGUCCCCGAUAUAGUGUGAGGACUUAAGGGACACGUGCAGGUCGUAACCUUAGAUAUUUUUGCUGAGAAUGGAUGAAGAAGCAAUAAUAUACUUUGCUUCUGAUUUUCUCCAUGUCAUUUGCUUACUCUUAUCCCUUUUAUUUAUCAUUAUAAGAUGAAAAUAUUGUAAAAACUUGGCUACGUGCGGUCGCAGAAGCUAGAGACUAAAGCGUCCCCCACGAGUUACUAUAUAAAAGGAUUGCAUCCUCUACUCAGUCAUAUGUACUGUGUAGGUGAGAUGGUAAGGAAGCUAUGUGUGAGGCUUGAGGUUGUAGGUUCGAAUCCCACGCACCGCGUGCGCAUGCGCAUAUUUUGCGUGAAAAAUCGCAUGACUUGUGGUCGGCCAAGGAGAAGUGCGUGCGGCUGAGGCACGCCGCCAUAGACAUCUCGGAUUUGCUCCAAGACUACCAAGACACUAGCGAACCCUUAACGGCAAAGUUGAGUACUUACGCGUGUUAGCAUCUAUGUUGUCCAUGCUUCCAAUGCAAUAACAAGAAGGGCUACUCAUCCUAGCGGAUUCUUCACAACCACUCGUAAAGCUAUGCGUUUCUCAAUGCAAUUUCGUAGAUGUCAAUCGAUCCAACCAAGCGACUGAAUCAUUCGUCCUUGCUAAUGAUGUGCAUCAGGUUUUCUAUAUGAAGAACAUGUCUAGCAAAUCCAAGAUUUCAGAAGAAAAAUAAAAAUCAUGAGAACCAAAGCACCACGUAGUUCUUCCAGGUAAAAAAAACAAUCAUCCACUGGGAUGACACACAGUAGCGAUCCAAAACGUCCAUAUUAAGACUUUUUGAUAGCAGAAAAAACAUGAAAAUGUCUAAUAUUUGUAGUAUUAAAAGGAAAAAUAAUAUAUUCACUUGACCUUUUUUUCGUAGCAACGCACCGGUGCGUAGUCAGACUUAGGCCACGUUUGGAUACUCCCUACUAAAGUUUAGCACCUGUCACAUAGGAUGUUUGGAUACUAAUUAGGAGUAUUAAACAUAGGCUAAUUAUAAAACUAAUUGAAUAGAUGGAGUCUAAUUUGCGAGACGAAUCUAUUAAGCCUAACUAGUCCAUGAUUUGACAAUGUGGUGCUACAGUAACCAUUUGCUAAUGGUGGAUUAAUUAGGCUUAAUAGAUUCGUCUCGCGAAUUAACAUAGGGUUCUGCAAUUAAUUUUAUAAUUAGCUCAUGUCUAGUCCUUCUAAUUAGCAUCCGAACAUCUGAUAUGAUACUGCUAAAGUUUAUCACCUAGUAUCCAAAUACCCCCUUAAUGCACGAUGCCUGUGCAUCCACUGGGCCUACCCUCGUGGAUCACGCGCUCGUGGAUCACGCGCACCAUGACAUGGCUCAUUAGCUAGUCGUGCUAAUCCUUACCACCAAAUUAAAAACUAGCAUGUGUUGUGUGUUUGUGACCCUAAACGACUACCACCUUCCCGAGUCCACCGGAGUUGCCAGUUCACCACUAAGCUGACUCUCCGAGCUUCAUGUCACUGUCACCGCUCCAAAGACCUAGAUCGGUUCGCUGUGCACCCCGCUUCGUCCUGAGCUAAAUCCCAUCACGAAAGGUGACCGGAUGCUCGUUUUCGAGCGAAUUCUAGCGAGAUUGCCACCACCUUUCCCCUUCCAGCCGAUCGCAGCUGUCUGAUCACAAACCGACAGCCCAGAUCGGAUUUGACCAGGUCAAUACCGGUCAAGCCGAGAUGCAUGCUGCUUUUGCAAGAAGGCCCCUAUUUUUCUCUCGUUUUGCACUUGAGGUCCUACGCAGUUCAAAAGUAAUUAGAUCUAGAUCCUUUUUCUUCUGUUUUAGCCCUGUUCUUUUAUAAAAUCCCACCCGCCAUCCUGUUUGGUAUUUUGACAUGUUAGACCUUCUAUUUAUAUGUUUAAUUAGGUUUUAGCCCUUGGUUUCUUUAAGUUUAGCUCUUGGAAGUUUAGUUUUCUCGCAGUUAAGCCCCUGAACCUUGUUUAGUUCAUAUCUUUAGCGUUUUAAAUCCGUUUUAAGAGAUUCUUACGCCCAUAAGUUCGUGUUGAUGCAUAGAUUAGUUGACUUAUACGGACCUUGCUGAUUCAGCUCCUUCAUUGUGCUUCAGAUCUCGCUAGUGAAGAAUAAUGGAUGGGCUUUGGUUGAGCUUGUAGAUCGACCUGCAGUUGCAGUGAAUGUGCUGAGGACUGGCGGUACCAAUAAUGGGAGGCCGCUGCUCUGCUUGCUACCAAGGCCUGCGACGCUUGGACGCCAUUCAGAGUGCAUAAUUUCCAAGGAUCUCAAGGGCUCCACACCACGUUCCAAGUGUUUUUUCUUUGCCGAGUGUUUUUAGCUCGGCACUUGGCAAAGAGCUUGUUUGCCGAGUGUCCGAAAAAAACACUUGGCAAAGAGAAAACACUCGGCAAAUUUGAUGUUUCCCGUAGUGAUGUACUAUUCAAACUUGAACUGGGAUGCAGGCUUCAGUACCAAAGAGAGCUCUGGGCGCGGGUGAGCAGUGAGCUGGCCGGGCAGGGAGCUCCAAAGCGACAGCAACAAAGAGAGAAAUGCUAAGAGUAAGAACGACACACGAGGUCACUUCACAUAGAUAAUAGCAGUACGAACCAUACAAUAUCCUCUCUCAGUUUCACUCCGCCUCACACACGGCUAGCACACCAUGCAUGCCGAUUUCAUAUUAUUAAUAUUAUUUUUUGGAUGGUUGUUGAAACUAUAUAUAUAGUUAGUCCAAUCUCACGUUUCCGAUUAUAAAAAUCAACGUAAAGAGAUCGGUAGGGAGAGCCGGCAUAAUGAAGCCGACGCGUGUAAUAAGCACCAGAGCCGGCAUUUAUACAAACUGGUACGAAUAGUAAAAAACUAGAAUUUAUAAAUAAAAAAAUGAUUUGCACAUCUAUGCAAUAAUUAGGGGUUAGUGGCAGGUCUAGAGAGAUAUCUCAUCAUUAUAUCCGGUUUAACGAGGAUAAAAAAGAGUGUAUUUUCCACUCAUCAUGUUGUCUUUUCGCAGCGGUACCACUUUUCGUGUGUUGUAUCGGUCCCCUAAUACGGAGUCUCCGAGGCCCGAGAAAAUAAGGAAAGUGAUAGUAGCCCAGAAAUCGGCCAAGUUUCUUUCCCCUUUGGCUUUCCUACUAGGAUUCAGAAUCCUCUUUCGCAUGACAAUCUUAAUUAUCUCCCAUACUCCAAAACUCACAAAAACAUCAAGAGUCCGCUGAGAAUAAAUUUAAGUAAAAAACAUGCACACACAGAUAAUAAUAAUAAUCAUGUUUCCAUAAAAUUGCUAAGUCCAGAGAUAAUACAUAAACAUAGUAGACUGUUCAUGACACAUAUCACGGUGGACAGUGUUUGUGUCCUUAUUACAAGCAACGAGAGAUGCUCGUCACCAACACGCGCGCGCACAGAUGCACGACAUACAUAUAGUAGAGACCAACAGAUGGUCGUCCCAUAUGGUGAACAAUUUAUUGGAGAUAAAUAUUAACGUAACUUGGCCAUAGCUUGAAGCAUAGCAACAUAUGCCUAUGAGUGGCAUUCAUGCUAUCGUUUUAGGCUUGUCCAGCUCCUUCCAUCUUAGCAAGCACUUCCAUUUCUACCAUCUUAGCAGCAACUGUCAAAUUGAGAUACGGAAAUCCCAUUAGCGCAUGAGUUAAUUUUGCAGUGGAAAUAGAGUACAAGAUGUCUUCAUGAUGUAAGUAAUAUGCCUGAAGUUGUGAGAUGGGAAGUGAAGUCAACAAAUUACAUUAACGGAAAUGCAUGGAAGGCCACACAUACGUAUUAGUCCAUGAUAUGCUACAAAGCUUGUAUGUACAUAUAGCAAAUUAAAUGCAUUAAUUGAAUAGAGUGUGUUUAGUGAAUUUACCAGAAUCGUCCAGAAAACAUGGGAAACAGCAAGUGUUCUUGCAGACUGCGUCGGAGGCACCCGCACGAAUACAAAGCUGACAACAUAGUUUUGCCUGGGCGGAUGCGCAGCAGCCGCACUCCGCCGCGGUGGGGUUAACAUUGAGGCUCAAGAUGACCAGGCACAUGAUCACCAUCAAAGUGGUAGUCCUCUUUCCCUCCAUUGCCUCCUCUUAGCUUGCUGCUACCUUCCUUGGUUACCUAGCUAAGUUUAUUGGUUUUGUGUUGAGAGGUGUGAUUCUUGAAUGGACGUUGCCGGCGGCAAUUUAUAGGCAGCUGAGCUAUGUGAUGAUAUGGACUAGGUGCAAAUGGGUGGUUAAUGGCAAGGAAAGGGGCGUCAGACAAAGCCCAAUGGCAACUGCUGACAUGCGAUUAAAUUCAGAUCCACAUCCGGCCAUUCAAUAAUACGGUUGGAGUUGUGGCACAGAUAUAUUAUUGCAUGAUCAUCAAGAUAAGAUCGUACAGUGACUGAGUGAGACAAUAAAUAGCCAAGUAAACUAUUUUAUCCUGCUGCAAGCUGCAUUCAUAAGUUUAUUUCACCUUUGAUCACAAUACUCUUCACACACGUACGUCUCAGGGAGAUCUCACUUCCGCUGGACUGCUCACUUCCGCUGUCGUCGGUACUGCCAAAGACAUAAGCUCACAUCUGCUAUUGCGGAGCAGGCCAAUUUGCUGCGGAACUUCGGCGACGACCUGAAGGACAUGAACUCGGUGCUGGAGUCCAUCUCAGCAGCGCUCUAGGACGCUGACACCGGUAGAAAAACGACCUUCCAUCGUCAACAAAAAUCCCGGUAGCUUUUUUACUCGGUACUAAAGAGGUUUUAAUCUCGUGCAAACACCUUUAGUCCAGAUUGCUAUUACCACGCAACCCGGACUAAAGCGUCCCCCGCGAGUUAGUAUAUAAGGAUUGCAUCCUUUACUCAGUCAGAUAUAAUAUGUAGGUGAGAUGGUAAGGAAGCUAUGCGUGAGGCUUCAGGUUGUGGGUUCGAAUCCAAGUGGGUGCAGCUGUGGCUUAAGCGGCUGAGGCACGCCGCCAUAGACAUCUCAGAUUUGCUCGAAGACUACCAAGACACUAGUGAACCCUUAACAGUAAAGGUGAGUACUUAUGAAUGUCAGCAUCCAUGUUGUCCAUGCUUCCAAUGUAAUAACAAGAUGGACUACUCUUCCUAGCGGACUCUUCACAACCACUCGUAAAGCUAUGCGUUUCUCAAUGCAAUUUCGUAGAAGCCAAUCGAUCCAACCAAGUGACUAAAUCAUUCGUCCUUUCCAAUGAUGUGCAUCAGGUUUUCUAUAUGAAGGGCAUGUCUAGCAAACCUAAGAUUUCAGAAGAAAAAGAAAAAUCAUUGGAGCCAAAGAGCCACAUAGUUCUUCUAGGAAAAAAAUCAUGGGAGUCGAGAACAUAUCAAACCAAUCAGGGGAUUAUGGUCAGCUUAAUGGCAUGCCUCCAUUCGAUGUCGAAGUUCACCCAAGCAUCAUGUUAGCCAAACAUCAAAUGUUCGUGCGUUGUUACGGUAAAGAUCAAUUGUGUUUUUUAAACUCUUGGAAUUUUUUUAUCUAAGUUUUUAUUUACACUUAUUGGAUGUCUACACAUUUGCUAGAAAACUAAAAUAAUUUGGACUUAAUUAUUUCUUUCAACUGAAGUACUCACUAAAUUUCUACCUUUUUAUUUAAGCAAGAGAGUUGCUAAAAAAAAUGGAUACGUAACCAUGUUGUAUCAUACAAAGUAACCACGUUUCACAUAUAGUCCGGCUUAGCAAACACCAUUGUUUUCUGAACAUAGCGUACAUGAGUUAACAGACAUGGAUUUAUUUCUAUUGCAAGUAGCAUAGCGUACAACCUGCCUGCACCGAUGCAGCUCAAUAUGCGAUAAUUUUUAUCUUCCCAUGUAAUUUUUCUACUCUAGUACAUAUUGAACUCCACAUUAAUGUCAUGUUCUUUCGCGCCCCAGAAGGUUCCUAAAGUUUGGAAACUUAAUAGAUAGCCAGAAUUUUUUUUAAAGAUAUUUAUAUGGAUACUUGUAUGUUCUUUCCAAACUAACAAUAUUGUUUACCAAUAUCAGAAGGAAUAUGGUUAGGAGCCAUUGCCGCAUAUGGCAGGUGAUGGUAGAUGGCGUAUGGGGUUUCGUUAAUUUAAUGGUAUAAUAAGCUGAAAUACAUUUUCUAUUUGCAAAUGAAUCAUAGCUGAAAUUGGUGGGAUUGUUUUUUCGCCGGUUUAGCAUCCUGUGCACCAGUUCAACCGGAGGGAAGCUGUUUUUUUUCUUUGGUUUUCCACCGGUUCACCGAGACCGAUGACAAUUUUAUGGCAGAAUCAUUACUUGUUUUACUAUUAGGUGAAGAUUUUAGCGUUUAGGUAUCUCACAUUAAACGCAACUUCAACAAUCUAUUUCUAGUGUAUAAUGUAGGAGACCCCGUAAAGAGUCUACACACACAUAUAUGUUGACUAUGAAUGUAAGUUUGUUGGUUUUAUGUAUGUUCGUUUGGAGUUUAUAUAAAUUUUACAUUUUAUAGUUUUGUGUAUAUGACGAAGAUCCAUGACUUGCAUUAAUUUAGCCUUUCUUCCAACAACUCUUAUGCAUGAUGUUUCUAGGCGAGCGUACUGGUUGCAAUUUUGGUCCCCGAUAUAGUGUGAGGACUUAAGGGACACGUGCAGGUCGUAACCUUAGAUAUUUUUGCUGAGAAUGGAUGAAGAAGCAAUAAUAUACUUUGCUUCUGAUUUUCUCCAUGUCAUUUGCUUACUCUUAUCCCUUUUAUUUAUCAUUAUAAGAUGAAAAUAUUGUAAAAACUUGGCUACGUGCGGUCGCAGAAGCUAGAGACUAAAGCGUCCCCCACGAGUUACUAUAUAAAAGGAUUGCAUCCUCUACUCAGUCAUAUGUACUGUGUAGGUGAGAUGGUAAGGAAGCUAUGUGUGAGGCUUGAGGUUGUAGGUUCGAAUCCCACGCACCGCGUGCGCAUGCGCAUAUUUUGCGUGAAAAAUCGCAUGACUUGUGGUCGGCCAAGGAGAAGUGCGUGCGGCUGAGGCACGCCGCCAUAGACAUCUCGGAUUUGCUCCAAGACUACCAAGACACUAGCGAACCCUUAACGGCAAAGUUGAGUACUUACGCGUGUUAGCAUCUAUGUUGUCCAUGCUUCCAAUGCAAUAACAAGAAGGGCUACUCAUCCUAGCGGAUUCUUCACAACCACUCGUAAAGCUAUGCGUUUCUCAAUGCAAUUUCGUAGAUGUCAAUCGAUCCAACCAAGCGACUGAAUCAUUCGUCCUUGCUAAUGAUGUGCAUCAGGUUUUCUAUAUGAAGAACAUGUCUAGCAAAUCCAAGAUUUCAGAAGAAAAAUAAAAAUCAUGAGAACCAAAGCACCACGUAGUUCUUCCAGGUAAAAAAAACAAUCAUCCACUGGGAUGACACACAGUAGCGAUCCAAAACGUCCAUAUUAAGACUUUUUGAUAGCAGAAAAAACAUGAAAAUGUCUAAUAUUUGUAGUAUUAAAAGGAAAAAUAAUAUAUUCACUUGACCUUUUUUUCGUAGCAACGCACCGGUGCGUAGUCAGACUUAGGCCACGUUUGGAUACUCCCUACUAAAGUUUAGCACCUGUCACAUAGGAUGUUUGGAUACUAAUUAGGAGUAUUAAACAUAGGCUAAUUAUAAAACUAAUUGAACAGAUGGAGUCUAAUUUGCGAGACGAAUCUAUUAAGCCUAACUAGUCCAUGAUUUGACAAUGUGGUGCUACAGUAACCAUUUGCUAAUGGUGGAUUAAUUAGGCUUAAUAGAUUCGUCUCGCGAAUUAACAUAGGGUUCUGCAAUUAAUUUUAUAAUUAGCUCAUGUCUAGUCCUUCUAAUUAGCAUCCGAACAUCUGAUAUGAUACUGCUAAAGUUUAUCACCUAGUAUCCAAAUACCCCCUUAAUGCACGAUGCCUGUGCAUCCACUGGGCCUACCCUCGUGGAUCACGCGCUCGUGGAUCACGCGCACCAUGACAUGGCUCAUUAGCUAGUCGUGCUAAUCCUUACCACCAAAUUAAAAACUAGCAUGUGUUGUGUGUUUGUGACCCUAAACGACUACCACCUUCCCGAGUCCACCGGAGUUGCCAGUUCACCACUAAGCUGACUCUCCGAGCUUCAUGUCACUGUCACCGCUCCAAAGACCUAGAUCGGUUCGCUGUGCACCCCGCUUCGUCCUGAGCUAAAUCCCAUCACGAAAGGUGACCGGAUGCUCGUUUUCGAGCGAAUUCUAGCGAGAUUGCCACCACCUUUCCCCUUCCAGCCGAUCGCAGCUGUCUGAUCACAAACCGACAGCCCAGAUCGGAUUUGACCAGGUCAAUACCGGUCAAGCCGAGAUGCAUGCUGCUUUUGCAAGAAGGCCCCUAUUUUUCUCUCUUUUUGCACUUGAGGUCCUACGCAGUUCAAAAGUAAUUAGAUCUAGAUCCUUUUUCUUCUGUUUUAGCCCUGUUCUUUUAUAAAAUCCCACCCGCCAUCCUGUUUGGUAUUUUGACAUGUUAGACCUUCUAUUUAUAUGUUUAAUUAGGUUUUAGCCCUUGGUUUCUUUAAGUUUAGCUCUUGGAAGUUUAGUUUUCUCGCAGUUAAGCCCCUGAACCUUGUUUAGUUCAUAUCUUUAGCGUUUUAAAUCCGUUUUAAGAGAUUCUUACGCCCAUAAGUUCGUGUUGAUGCAUAGAUUAGUUGACUUAUACGGACCUUGCUGAUUCAGCUCCUUCAUUGUGCUUCAGAUCUCGCUAGUGAAGAAUAAUGGAUGGGCUUUGGUUGAGCUUGUAGAUCGACCUGCAGUUGCAGUGAAUGUGCUGAGGACUGGCGGUACCAAUAAUGGGAGGCCGCUGCUCUGCUUGCUACCAAGGCCUGCGACGCUUGGACGCCAUUCAGAGUGCAUAAUUUCCAAGGAUCUCAAGGGCUCCACACCACGUUCCAAGUGUUUUUUCUUUGCCGAGUGUUUUUAGCUCGGCACUUGGCAAAGAGCUUGUUUGCCGAGUGUCCGAAAAAAACACUUGGCAAAGAGAAAACACUCGGCAAAUUUGAUGUUUCCCGUAGUGAUGUACUAUUCAAACUUGAACUGGGAUGCAGGCUUCAGUACCAAAGAGAGCUCUGGGCGCGGGUGAGCAGUGAGCUGGCCGGGCAGGGAGCUCCAAAGCGACAGCAACAAAGAGAGAAAUGCUAAGAGUAAGAACGACACACGAGGUCACUUCACAUAGAUAAUAGCAGUACGAACCAUACAAUAUCCUCUCUCAGUUUCACUCCGCCUCACACACGGCUAGCACACCAUGCAUGCCGAUUUCAUAUUAUUAAUAUUAUUUUUUGGAUGGUUGUUGAAACUAUAUAUAUAGUUAGUCCAAUCUCACGUUUCCGAUUAUAAAAAUCAACGUAAAGAGAUCGGUAGGGAGAGCCGGCAUAAUGAAGCCGACGCGUGUAAUAAGCACCAGAGCCGGCAUUUAUACAAACUGGUACGAAUAGUAAAAAACUAGAAUUUAUAAAUAAAAAAAUGAUUUGCACAUCUAUGCAAUAAUUAGGGGUUAGUGGCAGGUCUAGAGAGAUAUCUCAUCAUUAUAUCCGGUUUAACGAGGAUAAAAAAGAGUGUAUUUUCCACUCAUCAUGUUGUCUUUUCGCAGCGGUACCACUUUUCGUGUGUUGUAUCGGUCCCCUAAUACGGAGUCUCCGAGGCCCGAGAAAAUAAGGAAAGUGAUAGUAGCCCAGAAAUCGGCCAAGUUUCUUUCCCCUUUGGCUUUCCUACUAGGAUUCAGAAUCCUCUUUCGCAUGACAAUCUUAAUUAUCUCCCAUACUCCAAAACUCACAAAAACAUCAAGAGUCCGCUGAGAAUAAAUUUAAGUAAAAAACAUGCACACACAGAUAAUAAUAAUAAUCAUGUUUCCAUAAAAUUGCUAAGUCCAGAGAUAAUACAUAAACAUAGUAGACUGUUCAUGACACAUAUCACGGUGGACAGUGUUUGUGUCCUUAUUACAAGCAACGAGAGAUGCUCGUCACCAACACGCGCGCGCACAGAUGCACGACAUACAUAUAGUAGAGACCAACAGAUGGUCGUCCCAUAUGGUGAACAAUUUAUUGGAGAUAAAUAUUAACGUAACUUGGCCAUAGCUUGAAGCAUAGCAACAUAUGCCUAUGAGUGGCAUUCAUGCUAUCGUUUUAGGCUUGUCCAGCUCCUUCCAUCUUAGCAAGCACUUCCAUUUCUACCAUCUUAGCAGCAACUGUCAAAUUGAGAUACGGAAAUCCCAUUAGCGCAUGAGUUAAUUUUGCAGUGGAAAUAGAGUACAAGAUGUCUUCAUGAUGUAAGUAAUAUGCCUGAAGUUGUGAGAUGGGAAGUGAAGUCAACAAAUUACAUUAACGGAAAUGCAUGGAAGGCCACACAUACGUAUUAGUCCAUGAUAUGCUACAAAGCUUGUAUGUACAUAUAGCAAAUUAAAUGCAUUAAUUGAAUAGAGUGUGUUUAGUGAAUUUACCAGAAUCGUCCAGAAAACAUGGGAAACAGCAAGUGUUCUUGCAGACUGCGUCGGAGGCACCCGCACGAAUACAAAGCUGACAACAUAGUUUUGCCUGGGCGGAUGCGCAGCAGCCGCACUCCGCCGCGGUGGGGUUAACAUUGAGGCUCAAGAUGACCAGGCACAUGAUCACCAUCAAAGUGGUAGUCCUCUUUCCCUCCAUUGCCUCCUCUUAGCUUGCUGCUACCUUCCUUGGUUACCUAGCUAAGUUUAUUGGUUUUGUGUUGAGAGGUGUGAUUCUUGAAUGGACGUUGCCGGCGGCAAUUUAUAGGCAGCUGAGCUAUGUGAUGAUAUGGACUAGGUGCAAAUGGGUGGUUAAUGGCAAGGAAAGGGGCGUCAGACAAAGCCCAAUGGCAACUGCUGACAUGCGAUUAAAUUCAGAUCCACAUCCGGCCAUUCAAUAAUACGGUUGGAGUUGUGGCACAGAUAUAUUAUUGCAUGAUCAUCAAGAUAAGAUCGUACAGUGACUGAGUGAGACAAUAAAUAGCCAAGUAAACUAUUUUAUCCUGCUGCAAGCUGCAUUCAUAAGUUUAUUUCACCUUUGAUCACAAUACUCUUCACACACGUACGUCUCAGGGAGAUCUCACUUCCGCUGGACUGCUCACUUCCGCUGUCGUCGGUACUGCCAAAGACAUAAGCUCACAUCUGCUAUUGCGGAGCAGGCCAAUUUGCUGCGGAACUUCGGCGACGACCUGAAGGACAUGAACUCGGUGCUGGAGUCCAUCUCAGCAGCGCUCUAGGACGCUGACACCGGUAGAAAAACGACCUUCCAUCGUCAACAAAAAUCCCGGUAGCUUUUUUACUCGGUACUAAAGAGGUUUUAAUCUCGUGCAAACACCUUUAGUCCGGAUUGCUGUUACCACGCAACCCGAACUAAAGCGUCCCCCACGAGUUACUAUAUAAGGAUUGCAUCCUUUACUCAGUCAGAUAUAAUGUGUAGGUGAGAUGGUAAGGAAGCUAUACGUGAGGCUUCAGGUUGUGGGUUCGAAUCCAAGGAGAAGUGGGUGCAGCUGUGGCUUAAGCGGCUGAGGCACGCCGCCAUAGACAUCUCAGAUUUGCUCGAAGACUACCAAGACACUAGUGAACCCUUAACAGUAAAGGUGAGUACUUAUGAAUGUCAGCAUCCAUGUUGUCCAUGCUUCCAAUGUAAUAACAAGAUGGACUACUCUUCCUAGCGGACUCUUCACAACCACUCGUAAAGCUAUACGUUUCUCAAUGCAAUUUCGUAGAAGCCAAUCGAUCCAACCAAGUGACUAAAUCAUUCAUCCUUUCCAAUGAUGUGCAUCAGGUUUUCUACAUGAAGGGCAUCUCUAGCAAACCCAAGAUUUCAGAAGAAAAAGAAAAAUCAUUGGAGCCAAAGAGCCACAUAGUUCUUCCAGGAAAAAAAAAUCAUGGGAGUCGAGAACAAAUCAAACCAAUCAGAGGAUUAUGGUCAGCUUAAUGGCAUGCCUCCAUUCGAUGUCGAAGUUCACCCAAGCAUCAUGUUAGCCAAACAUCAAAUGUUCGUGCGUUGUUACGGUAAAGAUCAAUUGUGUUUUUUAAACUCAUGGAAUUUUUUUUCUAAGUUUUUAUUACACUUAUUGGAUGUCUACACAUUUGCUAGAAAACCAAAAUAAUUUGGACUUAAUUAUUUCUUUCAACUGAAGUACUCACUAAAUUUCUACCUUUUUAUUUAAGCAAGAGAGUUGCUAAAAAAAAUGGAUACAUAACCAUGUUGUAUCGUACAAAGCAACCACAUUUCACAUAUAGUCCGGCUUACCAAACACCAUUUUUUACUGAACAUAGCGUACAUGAGUUAAGAGACAUGGAUUUAUUUCUAUUGCAAGUAGCAUAGCGUACAACCUGCCUGCACCGAUGCAGCUCAAUAUGCGAUAAUUUUUAUCUUCCCAUGUAAUUUUUCUACUCUAGUACAUAUUGAACUCCACAUUAAUGUCAUGUUCUUUGGCGCCCCAGACGGUUCCUAAAGUUUGGAAACAAAAUAGAUAGCCAGAAAUUUUUUUAAAAAAUAUUUAUAUGGAUAUUUGUAUGUUCUUUGCAAACUAACAAUAUUGUUUACCAAUAUCAAAAGGAAUAUGGCUAGGAGCCAUUGCCGCAUAUGGCAGGUGAUGGUAGAUGGCGUAUGGGAUUUCGUUAAUUUAAUGGUAUAAUAAGCUGAAAUACAUUUUCUAUUUGCAAAUGAAUCAUAGCUGAAAGUGGUGAGAUUGUUUUUUCGCCGGUUUAGCAUCCUGUGCACCGGUUCAACUGGAGGGAAGCGGUUCACCGAGACGGAUGACAAUUUUACGGCAGAAUCAUUACUUGUUUUAUUAUUAGGUGAAGAUUUUAGCUUUUAGGUAUCUCACAUUAACAAUCUGUUUCUAGUGUAUAAUGUAGGAGACCCGUAAAGAGUCUACACACACAUAUAUAUGUUGACUAUGAAUGUAAGUUUGUUGGUUUUAUGUAUGUUCAUUUGGAGUUUAUAUAAAUUUUACAUUUUAUAGUUUUGUGUAUAUGACGAAGAUCCAUGACUUGCAUUAAUUUAACCUUUCUUCCAACAACUCUUAUGCAUGCUGUUUCUAGGGGAGCGCACUGGUUGCAAUUUUGGUCCCCGAUAUAGCAUGAGGACUUAAGGGAGACGGGCACGUCGUAACCUUAGAUAUUUUUGCAAGAAGCAAAUUAUACUUUGCUUUUGAUUUUCUCCAUGCCAUUUGCUGACUCUUAUCCCUUUUAUUUAUCAUUAUAAGAUGAAAAUAUUGUAAAAACUUGGUUACGUGCGGUCGCAGAAGCUAGAGACUAUUUCUUUUUUUAAAAAUACGCAAGAGGGAGAAACUUGGUAACAGCUAGACAGUGAAGAUCGCAUUUCAUAAGAAAGAUGGUGCACGUUCUUGUUUGGCUGUUAACGAAAUGACUUCGUUUCACCACACCACCAGAGAGCCCCAUUGCACUUGCAGCAAAAGCGUGGAGCCGCUUUCAACCAGCGUGCAAUAAUGCAGUCCCGCGUGUCUUGGUCUUACAGGAUAUUUGGUUCUUUAGUCCGGACUAAAAUUCAUGUCGCAUAGAAUAUUCAGAUGUUAAAUAGGAGGACUAAACAUGAGCUAAUUAUAAAAAUAAUUACACAAAUGGAGGCUAAUUCCCAAGACAAAUCUAUUAAGUCUAAUUAAUCCAUCAUUAGCACAUGUUUACCGUAGCACCGUAUUGUCAAAUCAUGGACUAAUUAGGCUUAAUAAAUUCGUCUCGCAAGUUAGUCUCCAUCUAUACAAUUUGUUUUAUAAUUAGUCAAUGUUUAAUACUCUAUCUAAACAUUCAAUGUGACUGAAAUUUUAGGAGGUCCUAAAGAACCAAACACCCCUUAGUCUCCGCCUGAACUAUAGCAGGUGCUGGCAGCGGUAGCAGGGUCGUCCAUUAUAUCUAUGGAUGGAAAUGAUCUGAUUCGGAUGGAAUCGAAUUCGAAUAGCACUUUUUACCACAUACUAAUCUGAAUUGGAUGUUCUCGAAUGUGAAUGCAAAACGGAUAGUUCAAAUUUGAAUACUUUGCGGAUUUUUGCAUAAUAUUAAUCGAAGAGAAUUUGUUAAAUUUAGCCGAGACAUAAAUUUUUCUAAAUUCAAAUACUUUGCAGAUUUUCGAAUGCAAAUUUUUUCAUACGAUCUCGGUUGAAUACAAACUUUAUAUCAAAGUUGUAUAUUUAGAUUAUAUAUAAAACUUUGUAGUUGACCUCCUUUUCAUUUAAAAUUUUUUAAUAGCUCAAAACAUUAUUCUAAGCUUUCUAAUUUCAAAAUCUUGAAUUUUAAAUUUUUCAAACGACCUCGGAUGCAAACAAGCUCUAUAUCAAAGUGCUUAAUGAGAUAUAAAAUUUUGUAGUUGACAAGUUUUUUAGUUGAAAACAUUUAGUUAUCACAAACAUACAAGUUCUUCAUUUGAUGUCGAGGAUUGGAAGUGUUGAGUUUGAAGAAUAUAUUCUUUGAUUACAAACUUUUCCAUAUGAUCUUGGAUGAAUACGAACUUUAUUUCAAAGUUGCAAAUUUAGAUUAGACCAAAAACAGUAUAGUUUACAAUUUUUUCAUUCAAAAUUAUUUAGUAGCUCAAAAUGUUAUUCUAAACUCUCUAAUUUUGAAAUCUUGAAUUUUAAAAUUUUCAAAUGACCUCGGAUGCAAACAAGCUCUAUAUCGAAGUGGUAGUUCUUAAUGAGAUAUAAAAUUUUGUAGUUCCAUCUGAGAUCAUUUAACAGUCACAAAUAUACAAGUUUUUCAUAUGAUGCUAAGGAUCAGAAAGAUUAAGUUUGAAGGCUGUAUUUUUUUAAUACAAAUUUUUGCAUACGAUCUCGGAUGAAUACAAACUUUAUAUCAAAAUUGUAGAGCUCGAUGAGAAUUUAAACUUUGUAGUUGAUAUAUUUUUCAUUCGAGAAUGUUUAGUGGUCCAAACAUGUAUUAUAAGUUCAGAGAAGAAACACACAAUCGGCCACGUCAUCAAUUGACAACUUCCAAACUGAGCAUUCCUAUUGGUUCACACCUUUCCCUUUCAACUCGUCAAGCUUAUCUCCUCCCACUCCUCCAUCGUUCACUCCCCCUUCCCCUUCCUCUCUCCCUCCCUCCCUCCGCUCCAGCAGUGGCAGCCCGACCUGCCUCCUAGGACGGUGGUGUGCGGGGCUCGGGCAUCCCUGGCCUCUAGUGGCGUGGCAGGGCGGCCUCCAGCAGCGAUGGCGGAACUCGGCCUCCGGUGGCGCACAGGCAGCGCAGCCUACCUGGUCAAAGGCGGCGCAACAGGGCGACCUCCCCAGCCUCCGGCGGCGCGCAGGGCAUCCAUGACCUCCCCGGCCUCCCUUGCCAGAGGUGGUGCGCGGGGCUGCGCCGACCUCCCCAACCAGAGGUGGCAAGGCCCCAGCUUACGGCGGCGCGUGGCUCCCCAGCUAGGGUGUGGUGGGGCGGCGGCAAGUCAGGCGUGGCCGCGUGGGGGUGGGGGGAGGGGGUUGGGCUGGGCGGAUUCAGAUAGUAUCCAUUUAACCAUCCGAAAUGUGGAUAUCCGUUUAACAAUCCGUUUAGCAAAACCGAAUUUGGAUACUUCCACUUAAGUAUCCAACUAGGAUUCGAAUGCGGAUGGUCCUACCAUAUUGUUAUUUCAGCGGAUACGAAUAUGGGAUAAUUCGAAUAACGACUUACCCAUCCCUGAUUAUAUCCGUGUAAAUAAAUAAUUGCGGCAGCAGGUUCCCGUCGCCACGCCCCCGUCAAACCAAACAAUUGCUUGCGCGACACCGUGUUACUAGAUCUUGUACAGUACUCCCUCCGUUGCAGUACUCCCUAAUGAAAGUUGAGAAUCGAUCGACAACCACGGCUAGUUGCUAUGCACUCGAUCAGAUGGUCCAGGCGCCCGCUGGUAAUCAGGUCGUGGUUCACGCGCAUCAGGCCAGCUAUGACGUUGCCAGCAGUGCUCAGUACACAAAUCUAGCUAUCAGUCGGAUCCAAUUGGGCAGGCAUUUGCACUGUGGUUGUGUUUGAACCUGUAGAUGUCGUUGUCAUUAUCAGGCACCAUACAUCCUCUCUCAGAGGGUGUUUCACCCCCUAAACUUUAGCCCCUCUCACAUCGAAUGUUUUAGAUACUAAUUAGGAAUAUUAAACAUAGAAAAUUUACUAAACCCAUUACAUGGAUGGAGGGUAAACGGCGAGACAAAUCUAUUAAAUCUAAUUAGUCCAUGAUUUGACAAUGUGCUGCUAUAGUAACUAUUUGCUAAUGAUGGAUUAAUUAGACUUAAUAGAUUUUUCUUGCUGUUUAGCCUCCGUCUGUGCAAUUAGUUUUAUAAUUAAUUCAUAUUUAGUCCUCCUAAUUAGUCUCCGAAUAUUUGAUGUGACACGGACUAAACUUUAGAUAGCACACCAGGGACCGACACCAUGCAUGCUGAUUUCAUAUCAUAAUUAAGGAAAGUGAUAUCAUAAUUAAGGAAAGUGGUAGCAUCCAAGAAAUCGAUCAUGUUUCUUCCCCCUUUGGCUUUCCUACUAGGAUUUGGAUAGCGGGCCUUCCUACUAGGAUUUGGAAUCCGCUAUCGCAUGACUAUCUUAAUUAUGUCCCAUAGUCCAAAACUCACAAAACAUCAAAAAUCCAUCGAGAAUAAAUUAAGUAAAAAACAUGCGCACACAGAUAAUAAUAAUAAUAAUCAUGUUUCAAUAAAAUUGCUAAGAUUAGAGAUAGUACAUAAACAUAUUAGAUUGUUCGUGACACAUAUCAUGGUGGAUAGUGUCUGUGUCCUUAUUACAAGCAGCGAUAGAUGCUUGUCACCACACACACGCACGCACAGAUGCACGACAUACAUAUAGUUGAGACCAACGGAUGGACGUCCCAUAGGGUGAAUAAUUUAUUGGAGAUAAAUAUUAACAUAACUUGGCCAUAGCUUGAAGCAUAGCAACAUAUGCUUAUGAAUGGCAUUCAUGCGGGUAGCAAUGCUAUCAUAUGCUUUUAGGCUUGUCCUUAGCUUCUUCCAUCUUAUAGCAAACACUGCCAUUUCUUCCAUCUUAGCAGCAACUGUCAAAUUAAUUGAGAUAUGGAAAUCCCAUUAGCGCAUGAGUUAAUUUUGCAGUGGAAAUAGAGUAGAAGAUGUCUUCAUAAUGUAAGUAAUAUGACUCUGACAUAGGGAGUGAAGUCAACAAAUUACAUUAACGGAAAUGCAUGGAAGGCCACGCAUAUGUAUUAGUCCGAUAUGCUACAAAGCUUGUAUGUACAUAUAAUAAAUUAAAUGCAUUGAAUAGAGUGAUUUUAGUGAAUUUACCUAAAUCGGAUUAAAAAACAUGGGAAACAACAAGUGUUCUUGUAGGGCUUUGUUUAGUUCCCAAAUUGGGAGUAGCAAAGUUUGCAUUUUACCAUAAAUGCGCAACUAUAGCAUGUAGCAUUUUGUUUGUAUUUGUGAAUUAUUAUCCAAACAUUGACUAAUUAGGCUCAAAAGAUUCAUCUCGCAAAGUACAACAAAACUGUGCAAUUAGUUUUUGAUUUCGUCUACAUUUAGUACUCCGUGCAUGUACCGCAAGUUUGAUGUGAUGGGGAAUCUUGCUUUUCAAUAGUGACAAAGUUGGGAUUUCGGGGGGAAGGCCUGUGUCGGAGCCACAUGCAAGAAUGGCUGACAUUGAGGCUCAGACAAAGCCCAAUGGCAACUGCUGACAUGCGAUUAAAUUUAGAUAUCCACAUCCAGCCAUUCACAUUUAUGAGAUAUGGACACGGUGCAAAUGGGUGGGGUCCUGAUAUGGAGGUGCGAAUGGCUGUCUACUUGUAUAGUGUAGCUCCAAUGUACGUAUAUGUAUCUUAUGCAUGUAUACAGUUGCACAAACUCUGAACCAACUCUUCAUAACAGGUCUUUGUUACCAAGUAACUUUACUUUUGCACGUUUCAGCCGAGAGGUAGAAGAGAAUAUUUUUGCAUUUUCCAUGUGCGUCAGUGGUAGAGAACUAGGAAUUAGUUCCGGAUGGUAGGGCACAAAUCUUCCAAACAACUAUCCGAAAUUAAGCAAUCGAGAUAAAGGGUGCCAUCUAUUCUCUCCGAAAAACACAGGUACCAAAAAGAAGAAGAGAAGAGGGAGGGCCUCCCGUUAAGGCCCGCUCGGGGUCUCCAUCCCACCACGCGCCCUCCCAACCCAAAGCCCAUCGUUUUCCCUCCGUCCCUCCCCUCUCCAUUGCCGCCGCCGCUCCCCUCAUCCGAGCUCGAUACGGGUGGUCGGCGGCCCCUCCUCUCCGCUCCCGCCCCCGGCCUCCCUUUGACCGCCGGGCGCCGGCAUCACUGCCGCGGCCAACCCCAGGGCGCAGCGCGUGCCUCUAUUUCUCUCCCCCGUUCAAGGGCCCUUUGAUGGCGACGAGCACCCACCCACCAGGUAUGCCCUCCCCUUCUCUUCCUAACCCUAAUAUAUUCGGAUCUCACCCAGUCACAAUAUAUUACCUAAUAGCUUCGAUUUUGUUUGCAAAAAUCAUCACGUGCGCACCCAUGUCCGCUAGAUUCUUGCGCCUGAUCCUGUGCUGCUAUGGUUUGGGCGGGGUAGACUAGUUGAUUCGUGCACUUUUGGGUGCUUGUAGUGCUAGGUUUUGGAGGGGGAUAGCCCAGUUGAUUCCUCCGUUUUGGGUGCUCAUGGUGAUAGGAUUUGGAUGGGGAUAGCCCCAAUGAUUCGUGCGCCUUUGGGUGCUGGGGAUAGUUUUGGGUGCCUGGAUAGUCCAGUUUCAAUGUCAGUAUAUGCGUAUUUUGGGGAGAAUUUUGUUUUGGGUGGUUCUGGUGCUAGAGUUUCUGAUGCUUAGUAGCCCAGUUUCAAUCAAAUUCCCCCAUGGGUCGUGCACUACGGGAAACAAGAAAAUUGCCGAGUGUAUUUUUUUUGUCGAGUGUUUUUUUUCGAGCACUCAGCAAACAAGCUCUUCGCCGAGUGCCAAGUCAAAAACACUCGGCAAAAAAAAACACUCGGCAAAUCGGGGCUUUGCCGAGUGUCAAAUAAAAAACACUCGGCAAAGAAGGGGGUUUGCCGAGUGUUAAAAAAAACACUCGGCAAACAGGAGGGUUUGCCUAGUGUUUUUUUGACACUCGGCAAAAAAAUAAUUGUUUUUCCUCUUUUCACCUUGAAAUUUUUUCUACUCCCCACAUACAACACGUGGUACUCCAUGUUAAAAUUUGGUAUAUUUUUGGAUUUAUUUGCUAUAUUUAUUUAAUUAAUUGCAUUACAAGGAAAUUUUUGGUAUAAGUCAAAUUUGAACUGCAAGUGAUUCAAAUUGUGGAACAAAAUGAGUAGAAAAAUGAUAUUCAUGUUAUUUGGCUCAAUUUGAGACCUGACCCAUGAAAUGAAAAGAAAUUUCGAACAUCUUGUUCAGGAAACACGACAAUGAACAUGUGGCGGUAGUAUUUUUAAAUUGUAAAAAAAACAAGCAAAGUCUGAAAAUCAUGAGAUUUGUAGUUAUGUGAUGAUAUAAUACGUGGAAGCUGUGGAAAAAAAUUGGAAAGGUUUUGCACAUUUCAUCAUGUACGAUGAUUACAAACCGAAGCAUAUCAGAAGAAGAAUAGUAACUUUGAGAAGGAUUCGAUAAAAUUUAGAGUCGAAGUGACGGUCGAGUUCGGUUUGACUACAAAACUUUUUGUAUAGUCAGUAGAGAACAUAUCUUAUUUCGUGUGAAAAUUUGGUAUUUUUUGAAACUGUUGGAUAUUUUUAAUUUUUUUUUAAAAAAACUUUGCCGAGUGUCCUAGGGUAGACACUCGGCAAAGAAAAACUUUACCGAGUGCCCGCCUAGGACACUCAGCGAACCUUUUUUUAAACCUACCGGCUCCGGCCGGCCCAGCCCACAAACACCACCCGCCCCCCGCCCCCGCGCCUUCUUCCUCACGCCGCCCCCGCCCCCCACCCGUGCCUCCGGACCGCCCCCUCCUCCCCCUGGCCUCCCCUCACGCCGCCCCCCUCCUCCCCUAGCUCCCUCCACCGGCGGCCCUCCCUCCCCCGGCGCACAUCCUCCACUCCUCCUCCCCUUCCCUUCCCUCCCCUCCCCUCCCCUCUUCCUCCCCUGGCCGGAUCUGGCGCCCCUAGCUCCCCUUUCUUCCGCGGCCAGAUCUGGCGCCCUCCCGGCGGCGGGUCGUGGCGAUCGGGGCGGCGGCGGCGGAUCAGGCCGCGGGGCGGCGGCGGCGGCGGGUCGUGGCUACCGGGGCGGCGCCCUGCCCCUCCCCUCCCUCUCCAUCUCCGGCUGCCGUCCACCCCCUCCCCGGAUCCGCCCCCCUCCCCUCCGCGCGGCCAGCCCCUCCUCCCUCUCCGGCCGCCGCCCCGGCCCCUCCUCUCCCUUUCUCCGGCCACCGCCCCGCCCAUCUUCUCUGGAUCCGGCCGGAUCCGGCCGCCGCACAGCCCCUCCUCCCCGGAUCCGGUGGGCGCGGACUUCGUGGUGGUGGCGCCGGAUCCCUCCCCUCCCUCUCCAGAUAACUCCCUCCACUCCUCCGCUCUUCCCCUCUCUCGCGCGGCGGCCUCUCUCCGGCCGCCGCCCCGCCCCUCUCCCCGGAUCCGGGGGGGGGGGGACUCCGCCCCUCUGCCCCGGAUCCAGCUCCCCGACCCGCGAGUGGGGCGAGCUUGCUCAUGCGGUCGACGUCGAGGCCAGGGUGUGGUGGAGGUGGUGGCCGGCGGGUGUGGUGGUGGUGGCGGCGGCGGGCAUGGCGGCGCGGAGGCAAGGCACGGCGGCCGGUGGGAGGCACGGGUGCAAGGCGUCGACGGCAGGAGGCAAGGCACGGCAGCAUGGGAGGUGGUGCUGUGGUGGUGGUGCUGGCGGUGGUGGCGGCGGCGGAGCAGGAUGUGGUGGUGGCGGAGGAUGUUUUUUUUUCAAAAAUUUGUUGCCGAGUGUUUUCUCGGCACUCGGCAAAGACUUUACCGAGUGCCCGACACAAAACACUCGGCAACUCAGUGUUUGCCGACUGAAAAAUUGCCGUGUGCCGUUUGCCGAGUGUUACACUCGGCAAACGGUUCGCCGAGGGUUUUUUGCCCUUCGCCGAGUGCCCCUAGCACUCGGCAAUUUCACUAUCUCCCGUAGUGGUGGCUGGACUUAUGGGGGGAUCAUUGAUGGGGGACUAGUUGGAUACUUUUUGGCUGUUUUGGGAGUCCUUGGCAGCGGCUUCUCAGGGCGUACGUAGCCCAUUGUAGAUUCCAGCCGAGAAGAUUAAGGAAUUGUGACUGCAACCAUGUUACUUUUCUAGGACUCUGUUUCUGAUAUUGUUCCCGCUGCAUCUUUUCAUCCCCAUGGUGAAUGUUGCUGUUGAUCUGUAGAUUGGAUUUGUUCCUCGGUAGCUUUAUUAGAUUUGUGCUGAAUGAUAAUCUCUGCCUGUGAUAUUUUUCUUCAUUGCGGAUGUGUGCCGAGUAUUAUCCCCUUUGUUCAUUCUGUUGGCUUUUUUUAUUGUCUCUGUACUCGGCUGUUCAGCUUGUGCAGCUAAUGAUCUAAUGUAUUUUGUCGUAACUAUGUAUUUUUCGGAUGUGUGCCGAGUAUUAUCCCCUUUGUUUAUUCUGUUGGCUUGCUUUCAUUGAUCUUAAGAUAACUGGUGCUAUAAAUUCACACUAGCUGAUGCACUUGCAAAUAGCUAUGUAAAUAUGAAAAGAAGUAUUUUUUUAUCCUUUUGUUUGUUUGGCAUCAUAUCUGUUUAAAUGGCAUAGCAAUAAGAAUUUUUUGUUUUUGGGGAAUCAUAUCUGCUUAAAUGGUAUAGAAAAUGCUGAGUGCACUGUCAAAUAGAUUUUCCAGCAGUCUGCUUUCAGUUGUUUUUGCAAAUCCUCACAGGCCAGUGAACUGACUUUGUUUUUACCACCCCAUGCCAUUUAAAUGACUAAAUCAGUCAGCCUAAUACUAUAUAUGGUCAUGCUAUGAUCUUAUUUCUUGAAGCUCUAUAGGUCAACCCAUAAGGGUAACUUAGUUUUUCCUAUUCUGGCUGGGGAAGUGGAUACGAUGGCUAUCCUUGGUAGAGUUAAAUACAUUGGCGGCUCUUAGCGCGCCAAUGUGGCACCACAAUAUCGAACAUAUGUAGAAACCCCCUUGUUUUUUCUCAUAUCCCUCUCUCUCAGCGUCCUCUUCUCUUCUUCUCCUCUGUCUCCUCCCCUCCCAUCGCGUGCUUUAUUGCGCCGCCGCCAUCCGCCUCCAUGUAUGAACACGUCGUUUGUCAUGAAGAAGCAGUUGAUGAGGCAAUCAAGCAUGUGGUGCACAAGGUUCUUCUGCUGGCCAAGUCCGAGUCGAACAGCCGCGCAUUCAUUGGGGAAGCACGCGCCAGGCAUCACCAGGCUCCUCGUGCCCCUACUCUGCUCCAAGGACUCGGUGCUUCGACGCGCUGCUUUCCCUGUCCGGCGAGCGGGGAUCGUUGGGAGAUGAUCGAUGGAGGAUGGAGCUGAUCCUCCUGUACACGGUGCCGGUGGGGAGCAGGGAGCUGCGGAGCAGGUCCACGGGCGGCGCCAUUACAGCAGGUGCAGGCUAAGGGUAAUGAGCAGAUCGAGGCGAUGGAGGAGGACCCGCACGAGGUGCAGCUUCUUCGCCUCCUGCGCAAAGUCAGCGCCCAAGCAGCCGCUGAGGGACAGGCCGAGGCUUAGCUCGAUCUCAUCCGACUAAAUGGUGGCUGCACUCCCACAGUCCCACUGGUGCUCCUCCCUUCUGUCCGAACCUGCCGAGGAAAUCCCUCGAUGCCAUGGGUCCCGGCUGGACGACUACUCCUCCCACAGAUUGACUGAGGAAGAAGAGCUUCUCAGUGUCCAAAAAUUCAGUUACACUGGAAACAGCAACCAAUUACGUUCUUCCGGCUCAGCCAAGCCCCAAUCUCCUUGCUUCUGUGCGCCCCUGCUAAAUAUUCCAGAAACCAAUCUGGUUAGUUGUUUUUUCACAUUUUCAGUGCAUGCCGGUGCUGCUGUGUGCGGCAUGCAUGGAGUUGUCGUGGGAGUGCACGGUGGCUUAGCUGGUGCGCCAGUGCGCGGGCACGAACACAACGGUGAAGAUGGCAGGGCCAUCUCAAAGCUCCUGAGCACCUGCACGCGUCGCUGAGCAGGACAUGCUGCGACGGUGGGCGAGCGCUGCUAACGCCCUGGGGAAGAGCAGUGGGUGCAGAGAGAGGGAGCGAGGGAGAGGGGUUCUUGUAUAUGUUUGCUAGCGUGGCACCGUUUACGGUGCCCGCCUAAGUGGCAUUCACGUGUCAUUCAUCCCAAAUGGUGUUGCAAGGUUGAACCUAUUGUGGGAGGCUUUUGGUUUCCCUUGACAGUAUCACCAGUGAUAUCACUGCGUUCUGGUUAUGUAUGAAACACUUGUCCUUUUAAAACCUUUCUGAAUUUAGAAACGAAUUUGAAACAUUACCCUCAUUUCCAUGUUUUUCUAUCUUUUGUCCCUGUAAAAUCAAACUAAAUUUGAAUUAUUAUGUUCAGAACUACAAGCUGAUUUACUUGUCCCAUUUGCUAAUAACAGGGCCUUGUGAUUUCUAAUGAACAUUGCAGAGCAUGUUAUAAAGCGUAUGCAUGAACACCAAGGGGAUGAAACCAUUGGUAUAUUUCUCACAACCUUUUGAACUUAUCAUUUAGCAUAUUUGUGUUCUAGUGUGACGUUUCAGCCACGAGACAUGAGAAAUGUUAGCUAUGGAUUUUGGUUAUUCAUCAUGGGUUCACAGAUUUGUUUUUCUCUAAAAGAAUUGGGAAGUAGCUUUCUUUCUGGGUAUAUGUGGGGAAAUGCAUAUGCAAUCUUUUAUUUAUUGAGGUGACUGUAAAAUUCUUGUCUGACUGAAUAUGCGAUUUCAACCUACAUGCUAUACUUAGGGAAAUUUGUGAAUCUCCUAAUGUCUGCUGCAUGGCAUGAAUGCAUAUUUUACUGGUCCAUAAUGUGAAGUUCUGUAUAUAAACUUCUCGUGUUGACCCUUUAGAACAUGCUAACUGGAGAGUUUUCUAGAGUAGUUAAACAAGAGAUUUAGUUAAAUCUGCACACAUAGGUGGGGCCUGGCAUACCCUAAGAAUCGGCCUAGCCGGUCAGCCCAUUAGUAAAAAAAAAAGCACCGCAGUCAGCAGUCCCCACGUUGGUCUUCCUCGAGUCGCGACUCGCGAAGCUCCCAUCCUCCGAGUCCAAGAUGGUGGACUGUGUCGAGCGCGGGGCGGGCGAUUAGUUGCCCGGCCGCCGGCGGGGGAUGGCCGGACGGCCAGAUCGCCGACUCCUCUAGUCCUCCCUCCAGCCUCUGCGCUUCUUUCACAGUGGAGCUAGCGGCGAGGCGCCCGACCGACACCCUUCUUCCCAAAUCCCGGCAGCCCUACCUCGAUUUGGCCUCCUCCGAUCAUUUGAUAAUCAAUUUGAUGAAAUUAAUAUGGAGUUGCUUUCUUGUAUGGUUGCCUUCAAUCCUGCUAAUUCAUUUGCUUCAUUUGAUGCACAAAAGAUACAUAGACUUGCUAUAUUUUUAUCCACAAGACAUCACAAGCACGGAUUUGCUAAAACUUGAAUUCCAGCUCGAUAUUAUAUUGAUGAUGUGAGAUAGGAUGAUAGUUUCAAAGGCCUACAAGAUCUUGUUAACUGAGACUCAGUUAAGCUUGUUGAAACAAACAGGCAUAAUAUUUAUGACUUGGUUUACUUGCUUCUCAAAUUGGUAUUGGUUCUUCUUGUGGCGACAGCUAGUGUUGAAAGGGAUUUUUGUGCAAUGACUUUGAUCAAGAGUAAGCUAAGAAAUAAGAUGGGUGAUAGUCUUUUGGAUGAUUGUCUUAUCACAUUCAUUGAGAAAGAUAUUUUCUUUGAAGUGGAUGAAGAAGAUAUAAUUAAGACUUCAUAUCCAUUAGAAAUCGUAGGCUGGAGAAGAAGUAAUAUUUUAAUUUUCUUUGAACGUUAGGUCUGUAAGCUUCUUUUAAACUAUCUACAUUAUAAUUUAUGGACCUUUUAAUUUAACCGUUGAAUUCAUGAUAUUAUGAGAUUUUUUUAUCUAUGUUAUUAUUGUUUACCGAUUUAUUACCAAAUUAUUAGUUUGAUCUUACAAUAUUGUAUUUUGGAUGAUUGGCUCGGCAUACUCUAAGUUUAAAUCCUAGCUCCGCCACUGUUUGCACAUUAAUGUGGCUUAUAUGUGUGGAGUCACUUAACCUAUGCACUUGGACCUCCACUCCCUUAGGUUUUAUGAACCUAAUUUGACAGCCUGCUCGUCUUUUAUUUUCUACCAAUCAGCUAGGAACGAACAUGGUGAUGUUUGCAUCUCUGCCAUCAAUGGCUUACAUGUCAUUAUGUAUCACAUUAGCAAGUCUUGUUUUGUUAUUGGCUGGGAUGACGGGGACUCUAGCUGGAAUUGAAUCAAAGUGGUAGAUCACAGGGUAUUCAUUGCCAUGUAUUUCUGCAGUUGCAUGGACUUGCAUCAAACGGACCUUCCUACUUAUGUGAUUGUCCUAUAUGAUCUCCUUUGAUUUCAUUUGCACACUGUAAUCACAUUAGCUAGAACACUCGCUUUUUGCUUCAAAUUUGAAAUUCAUAUCAUGAUGGACUAGAACGCUGAAUUUCUUGAUUGCUGAGUUACUAAUCACAUUGUGGCGCUGCCAAAGAAGCUGGACUCUUCAUUGUUGUUGCCUUGUGGGCUGCCGUGUGCAAAGAACAAGAGCGCACGGUAUUAUAAUAGCAGAGCAGAACACAGACAAGCGACAAGGAGCGGAGCAGAGCAGAGCACAGCCAGGCACAAGCAGUAGAGUAGAGCAGAGCAACCGGGAGAGGAGAGGGCACAUAUGCAGAGUAGAGCAGAGCCAAGCGCAAGCAUUCAUGCACUCAAGCAUGCAGCAGAGGUGUAGCAAGGCAAGCACAAGCAGCAGAGCAGAGGGAAGGGAAGGCUGGGAGAUGAAUAGGCGAAUAGUUACCUGGACAGAGCAGAGGGAAUGGAGAUGAUGCAGAUGCUUCCGGAGACUCGAGAUUUGGAGAGGAACAAGGCCACGUUGUGAACAAGGUCUCCUUUCUCUUCUCUAUUUCCCGCGCAAGUACUUGUGCAUAGUGGCUGCCUCAUCCUCCAGGACGUCCACUUCAACCUGAGGCGGGUGCCACAGACAUCCUGGCUAUGCGACGGCUACCCCCAGCACACCCCCGGCGCCUAUGAACCAUGAUCCUAAUACUAUAAAUUGUCAACCUUGUAAUCUUAUUUCAAGCAUGCUCUCUAUGUCAACCUGUAAGGUUAACUUCGUUUUUCCUUUUCUGGGUAGGGGAGUGGAUAUUGCUGUUAUUUAUAUUAUGUUGAUAUUGGUUUCCACAUGUCAUUCACCCCAAAUGUGUUGCAAGGUUGAACCUAUCAUCGGAGGAAUUUUUUUCCCUUUACCUUUAUAUCACUACGCUCUGGUUAUGUAUGAAACACUUGUCUUCUUAAAAACCUUAAUUUAGAAACAAAUUUGAAACACUAUCUUCAUUUACAUCCUGUAUGUGUUUUCUACCUUUUGUCCUAUAUGAUCUGCUUUGAUUUGAUUUGUGCAUAGUUUUUUCAAUUCAGACCUGGUGAUUUCUGAGGUUCAUGUUGUGCUGAUAAGCAGCCUACUAUUCAGUAACACUUUCAUGUGGCAUGUUCAUGUUAGCUAGCUAGAAACACUGCUUUUAGCUUCAAAAUUCAAAUUCAUGACAUGAUGGACAUUGACAAUGAAUUUCUUGAUUGCCGAGCUAUGUACACUGUAAUUCAGACCUGGUGCUUUUAGUUUUUUUCUUGAUUGCCGAGCUAGAAACACUGUGCUUUUAGUUUUUUCAAUUCAGACCUGGUGAUUUCGGUUUUUUCAAUUCAGACCUGGUGAUUUCUGAGGUUCACGUGUCACACCGAUUUUAAGAACAAAAUCGAGUGCAUUAAAUAUACAUGUACGCUAGGAUCAGGUUACACACAUGUACGACAUAAGCGAAUAUCAAAGACAAUGCCAUAACGAAAUAAAGAGAGUAUUAAUCAUUAUUACAUGACCGAAAGUCUCAAAUAAACCACAAAAUCUAUUUAUUACAUAGCGGAACUUCUAAGAUAGCAACGUCUCCACAGGCAGCUGACUGAAGAACUGUAUGCCUAGAACUCUUCAAAAUCGUGCAGGUACUCCUCCAGAUUAGCUUGGUAUGAACAACGGUUUUGCAAGGGUGAGUACACUUAUGGUUGGUACUUAAUAAGUCGUGGGAAACAAUGUAGUGUAAGGCAAAUCAAGGUAUGGCUAAGGCUUAAACAGCAUCAGCUUUUAAUUUAGUUGGUCAAAUUUUAUUAGCAAUUAAUUAGACGUAAAUUUAUACCACCCGAAAUUAAACAAGAACAUGAAUAAAAUAAUAACAUAACCAUAAAUGAAAUGACAACAAUUUAAAUCCAUCUUUUCAUAGCAUUAUCAUGUGAGGGUCCAGUCCGUUCUUAACCGUGAGCACCGCUGAUCGAUCAGUUUUACACUCUGCAGAGGUUGUACAUCUUUACCCACAAGUCGCGUAAAAGUUCAAAAGAAUUUUGGACCCAACCAUGCGGUAUUUGCAAGGCACCAUACCACACUUCCAAGGUGUGAUUGCAUAUGAACGCUACGAGGCCUUUACAAAGAUUCAUUAGUAAGUGGUAACCCGCUAAGGUUUCGGUAUUUGGCGUGCACAACCUAUCACAGGCCGCUAAUGCAACGACUCAGUCCCCCCUCUUGCCUCAUCACGAGUAAGAUUACCCCAGACUAAGGUUUCUAAUUAUUCAGCCAAGAUCAGAACCAUUUAGUCUUGUGGUAGCACUGUUUUCCUGGGUGGUUCUCCAUGUUCCGAUUAAACAUAAUGGUCUUGUAUUAAUGGAAGGUAUAACAUAAAUAAUACCAAAUUAAUAAUAAUUCAGAUUAAAUCACCAUAACCAUAUUUGAGCACUAAGCAUGAGCUACCCAACAUAAAUUUAACCCGGUUGGUCAAGGCAAGGUAGAUAAAGUCUAGGAAAUUCUUAAUUGGGACCCAUCAAGUUUAAAUUAUACUUUGCAUGGUAUGUUGCAUAGAACAUGAAAGUAAAUGUGAAUAGGACUGAAAAGGAGUGAUUAGGGACACGACUUGCCUUUUUAACCUUGUUCUUGCUGUUCGUACUCUUCGAAAACUUUGAUCUUCAAAUCCCUUGAACUGCUGACCGUCUACACGCGUCACACGACCACAUACAAGCAAACAAAUAUAAUACAUAAGAAAACAGUACACCAAUCAUAAUUAAAUAGAAGAAACAAAUUUGAAAAGCUAUUCUACGCAUUAAAACGAAAACACGGAUACAAGGAACGUUAAAAACGGAGCUACAGUGCAAAAACUACGCUUAAAACAAGAUGCAGGGGUAUAACUACGAGAAACCAAACUUCCAGGGAUUUAAUUUUAAAUAAUUUUGAACUGCAGAAGGGGCAGCAGGGCAAAACGUAGAAAAUGCAGGGGCUUAAGCGCAAAAGCAUGGCUGCUGACUCAGCUGACUUGAUGUGGAUCGUCGGAUGGCGAUCCGGCGGCCGGCAGCUGCUGCGCUGACGUCAGCGACGGCGAGCGCCGGCGAAAAACGGCAGUUCGCCGGAAUCGCCCGGGAACGCGCGACUGGGUGCAGAUUUGAGCGAGGAUUAGACUAGCAGAUAGAAACGAGCGCAGUGAACUCAUUUGGGAUGCCUACGGCGAGGACUUGGCGACGGCAUCGGCUCCGGCGAGAACUUGCGGCAGGGAAACCAAAUAAAAUAAAAUAACACGGUUCAGAGAAGCGGCGCUGGAGGAACGCGAGCGAUUUUGCGUGCGAGCGGAAGAAAACACUGCGAGGAAGAUGACUGCGGGCCCUGCUUGUCUGCGGCAGGAGGAGAGCUGCGUGCGAGAAGAACCUGGCCACGAUCUGGGCCGUUGCCUUCGAUCUGGGCCGAGGCAAGCUAGCUGGCCCGCUGCUGCGGAAAGGUGCUGGGCCACGGGCGGAGCACAGCGUCGGGCCAGAAAGGAGAUGGCUGCUGCGAGGAAACAAAAGAAAAUGAACUGGGCUGCGACAGAGGAAAACUGGGCGUCGGCCAGAAAGAAGCUGCGUGCAGCUUGCUCUUGUUUCCGAACUAGAAACAGGAACUGACGGAAAGACAGAAAUCAAUUGGAGACUGAAACUGACGCCCCAGACUCUGAACUUCGAAAAAACAGGACAACCAGCCAACUGACAGAAAAAAAAAAGCUUAACAACCCAAAAGCAGUACACAACCACGAAACCAGGCCACAAGACUGAAAAAGCUUGAUAGGAACAUCUGGCGACUGAACCAAAAAACUACAGAACUGCAACUGAAGAACUAGAGAACAGAUAAAUAACUGAUUGAACUCUGAAACUGAAACACCAAAGAGCAGGAAGCUGACUGACGGAAAAUGCAAAACAGCAACCCAAGGUGAAACACAAAUUCUUCUUCAAGCAUUCAAACAAAGAGAUAUGCAACAGCAUGAAUGCUCAAUAAAAUCCUAUAUUUCAUUAAUUAAUUAGAAAAAAUGCUCAAAUGCCUAGAAAAAUGCAAAAGUGACCUUAUAUGCCUUAAACAAGCAAAUUCGUUUCUAGCGAUUUUUGGUAAAAUGCAAAAUUAGAGAUUUUGGGUGUUACAUCAUGUUGUGCUGAUAAGCAGCCUACUAUUCAGUAACACUUUCAUGUGGCAUGUUCAUGUUAGCUAGCUAGAAACACUGUGCUUUUAGCUUCAAAAUUAAAUUCAUGACAUGAUGGACAUUGACAAUGAAUUUCUUGAUUGCCGAGCUAUGUACACUGUAAUCACAUUGUGGGGCUGAUAAAAUAAGCAGCGUUGAGACACAUAACAAUUGAAUCUUAAGCUUCACACAGAAUCUGGACCAGUCAUCCUCAUUCCUGUCAUGCUGGAAAUGUCUUUGAUACAUUUCAAUCACAGGCAAUUGAAUUCGUACUGGGGAGGAUGGCAAUGGUGCAUGAAGAGAGAUCAAUGUGGCAAAUCUCACAUUGUUCAUUACCAGGUAUCUCCGAUUUCUGGUUAUUUUAAAUUUACCUUGACAUGUGACUUAUUGAGGUAUUGUAUUUCAUCUAAUGGUAGUUCUGAAUUUAUGGUAACCUUGGAUGGGGUUUGUCACUUUAUACACGCACGGACUUACAAAGGACAGCAAAUGAGUAUAUUUAGAGGGCUCCUGUCCAACCAUGGACUAUACUUAUGUACCCUUUUUUGACAUGGUAAUUUGAGGUUAAUGGAAAAGUAGCGAUAGUCGCCUCCAGCGAAGCUACCUUCUUCGAAAGCUCCGAGGCUGCUUUCUCGCUCUUAGCAAGCCGAUCCCUCGUAAUCAUCGAAGAGUAAGAGACCUACAGAUUUUAAAAACCAAGUUACCAAAAAUAACGAAGUAAAAGACAACACUCGCAAGACAAACCACCAAACUAUCUCAUAAUUGUACCUUCUUUACGAGGUUCGCCUCCAAGUUAAAGAGCUCUUCCAAGAUCAUUGACUUCACAGCUUGCUGAAAAUCUAUGCGCCAAAGGAUAUAGUCGUAAGCAUAAAAUAAAAAUUGGUAAAAACCAAGGACAGCAAAGCCAUCUACAAGCUGUUCUUACCCUCAUACUUUCGCACCUCAACGGCGAUCGGAACAACCUUCUCUCUAGCCUCGCCCUUAGACGCCACCACAAUCUUCCCGCCACACAAAUCCACAACCCCUCCUUUACCUUUGCCCUCUCCCGAAGUCGUCGUGCCCGCCUUCUCCACCCUUUUUGAACCGCCAACAUCUGCAUAGCGCUCGCAACCUUCACCUUCAGCCCCCCAGACCAAAGACAGGUUGUGAGGAUUAUAAACCCUACCUUCGGCGCAUGUAGCUAGAAUCUCCGUGCGCCCGCUCAAGCCCAGACACUCAUUCAGUCCCUGAAGCCCCGCCGGCAACCUCUCACCUACAUCAUAACAUUCAACUUUUAGCCUCACAUGAUCCUCACAACUAACCUUACCAACGCCCCCCAUAGUUUCUUCCAAGUCCUUCAAAAAUUUCGUUGAGGCCUCACCACAAUCAAAGAACCGUAGCAUCGAUAGAAACACCUCUACAUGCUUACCAGAUCUCACAGCUUCGGCACACCCACCCUUUGGAUCAGAUGAGAACGCAUCCACAAGCUUCGCCUUUUCGGUGGCAAACCCCCUCUCAAGUUUCCCAACAUCAGUCAAGAGAUGUUGCGCGCUCUUAAACUUCGAGCUUAUGGAAGGCACCGUGAUCUUGGUACCAGCUGCCGAAGACGCGUCAACCUUGGCACCCGUAACAGUAACAGGAGCAAAUCGAGGUUUCUUGGCGCCUCUUUUGAUCCGUGCGGCGGGCCCGGUGGAUGAAGGUGCAAGAGCUGGAACCUCCUUAGGAGGGCGCAUAGAGACAGGAACAACAUAUGCCGGAUUGCUCAAGUCGCCAGACGAAGCUGUCGACCACGAUGGCAACAUAGCAGACGAAGCCCCCGCGGUCAUUUCCUUCCUUUUUUGCGCCUCCAAAUUCAAGGUCUUUUGCUUCGCCUUAGCGGUCACUUGCAAUUCAAUAGUGAGCUUCACCAUGGGUACGAAGUCAAAUUUUGCCUUUUUCCUCUGCUCAAGACUAGCACCGCGACGGCGCCUCUUGCCCGUAACUUUGGGGUGAGGCAGAACCACAAUAUCAUACAAGUCAAAAAUCUAAGAUGAUGACAUUCCAUUUGUAUCCAUGAUUUAUAUUGUGUUCCUUGAAUAUCCAUUAAAGUCUACUUGAAUUGAUUUGCAAUUAUGUGAAUUGUAUGUGAAACUCUUUCCUUGUAUGGUUAUUCUAAAGUUGUCCCUAGUCGGAGUUCAUGUGAGGACACAUGAAUAUUAGACUAGCACAUGUAUUAGUUGAUGACUAUGUUUCACAAGUCAUGGACAUGAAGAUGUGGAACUAAUAAUGUGGGCACAUGUGGAGACACGUGCUAGGACUGACCCAACACGAGAAGUAGUUCUCUCUUUAUACAACAUAUACGCUUUGUCCUUAGACCUGAGAUUGUCGCAUGUACUCAAGAUGUGGAUCGACUUACUUAGGGGCUAUCAAAUUCUACGCCGUAACAGGGUAGUUAUAAAGGUAGCUUUCGGGUUUGUCAAGAAGCAUGCUAUGAGACAUGGUCAAUCAAGAUGGGAUUUGCCCCUCUCUGAUUGAGAGUGAUAUCUCUGGGCCCCUCGAGUGAUCGGAUCCGAAAAUGCAUGGCCAUGCUACAUACGAUUAAGAGUUAGCCUACAAAAGGAUUCCGAAUCAUAGGAUCGAGAAAGAGCGGUCGGCUUGAAGCUAGACCAAAUAUCGUGAGGCAAAGGGAAUAGCAUGUAUAUAAUGUUGUGAUGGUUCGUCUGAUAUGAUCUUCGUGUGCGUAUAGGAGUUGGCACGUCUUGCUAGAGGUCGCUACCGACUAUUGGGCCGAGUAGGAGUACUCAGGCCAUGUCUAUACGUAUCCGAACCCAUAGGGUCACACACUUAAGGGGCUGGAAGCCCAAUUCGGAUGUGAUCCGAAUUGGAUUAGGUUUAGAAGUACUAAUGGGCCUUGGACCUAGAGGCCCGUUAGGAACCUCUAUAAAUAGAGGGGUGGGGGCGCCCUAGGGUUUACACCUUUUUGGUGAAACACAUCUGCCGCGCCUCCCACGCCUUCGCCUGUUGCAACUCGCGGACCUAGCAGUCCGGCUUGCGACGCUUCCUCCCUGCACGUGUGGAUACCUUGGAAGUGUUGCUCCUGCAGCACUUGGACGAGCCGCCAACGAGCCACGACGAGCCACGAUGAGCCGACGAUGAGCCGCGGCACGAGGGGGAUCUUGCUGCACGUGGACGAGCUGCUGAGGAGCUGCUGGACGUCGAUGUGUUCGACUACGUACGACUACGCUGAUCGACUUCGCUGCAUCAACGCGAAUCUACAUCUUCCGCAUCAUUGCAUCGAGUGGUAAUCCCGUGAUCCUGAUACGGCAGUUUUCCUAGUUUACGCGGUAGAAAAUUUUGUUUUGUGCUAGUGUAGCCUAACUCAUAUCCCAACAACGUGUGCUAUAGGUCACGCAAGCCUGAAAAUGGCCACACCGGACACCGGGUACGAAAACAUGGGGGAUGGACCGAACAUUUGAAAAUGGCCUCCAUAUGUGUUUUCGGCUAUGAAAAUGUGUGUUAUAGGUCACAGAAGCUUGAAAACGGCCGCACCAGCCACUAGGGACGAAAACGUGGGGGAUGGACCAAAGACAUAAAAAAUAGCCUCCAGACGCGUGUUCGGCCAUGAAAACGUGUGGUAUAGGUCCUGGAAGGCCAAAAACAGCUACACCGGCCACCUGGGACGAAAAAGUUUGUGUAAGACCGAACACUUGAAAAUAGCCUCUGGACGCGUGUUCGGCUAUGAAAAGGUGUGUUAUAGGUCACACGAGCCCCAAAACAACCACAGCGAACACCAGCUACAAAAACAUGGGGGAUGGAUCGAAUAAUUGAAAAUGGCCUCCAGACGUUUGUUCGGCCAUGAAAUCGUGCGUUAUAGGUCGCGGGAGCCCGAAAACGGCCACACCGGCCACCGGGAAUGAAAAUGUGGGGGAUGGACCGAACAAUUAAAAAUGGCCUCCGGAUGUGUGUUCGGCCAUGAAAACGUAUGUUAUAGGUCACGGGAGCAUGAAAACGGCCGCACUGGCCACUGGGGACGAAACGUGGGGGAUGGACCGAAGACGUGAAAAUAGCCUCCAGACGCAUGUUCGGCCAUGAAAAUGUGUGCUAUAGGUCAUGCAAGGCCAAAAACAGCUGCACCAGCAACCGGGGACGAAACCAUGGCUGUCAAACCGAACGCUUGAAAAUCGCCUUCGGACGCGUGUUCGGAUAUGAAAACAUGUGUUGUAGGUCACGCGUGCCCGAAAACGUCCACAACGGACACCGGGUACAAAAACGUGGGGGAUGGAUCGAAUAACUGAAAAUGACCUCCGAACGCGUGUUCGGCCAUGAAAACGUGUGUUAUAGGUUGCGGGAGCCCAAAAAUGGCCACACCGGCCACCGAGGAUCAAAACGUGGGGGAUUGACCGAACAAUUAAAAAUGGCCUCCGAUUGUAUGUUCGGCCAUGAAAACGUGUGUUAUAGGUCAUGGGGGCCCAAAAAUGGCCGCACCAGCCACCAAGGACGAAAAUAUGGGAGAUGGACCAAAGACAUGAAAAUGGCCUCCAGAUGCAUGUUUGGACAAAAGUGUGUGCUAUAUGUCGUGCAAGGCCAAAAACAGCUACACCAGCCACCGGGACAAAAACGUGGGUGUUUGACUAAACAAGUGAAAAUGGCCUCCGGAAGCAUGUACGGCUAUGAAAAUGUGUGCUAUAGGUAAUGGAAGGCUAACAAAAGCUACACCGGCCACCGGGGACAAAAUCAUGGGUGUCAGACUGAACACUUCAAAAUGGCCUCCGGACGCGUGUCCGGCUAUCAAAACGUGUGUUAUAGGUCAUGCGAGCCCGAAAACAACCACACUGAACACCGGGUACAGAAACAUGGGGGAUGGACUGAAUAACUGAAAAUGGCCUCUAGACGCGUGUUCGGUCAUGAAAACAUGUGUUGUAGGAUGCGGGAGCCCGAAAACGGCCACACCGGCCACCAGGGCAUGGACCAAACAAUUGAAAAUGGCCUCCGGAUGUGUGUUCGGCCAUGAAAACGUGUGUUAUAGGUCACGGGAGCCCAAAAAUAGCCGCACCGACCACUGGGGAUGAAAUCGUGGGGGAUGGACCGAAGAUGUGAAAAUGGCCUCCAGAUGCGUGUUCGGCCAUGAAAACGUGCGCUAUAAGUCAUGUAAGGCUAAAAAUUGCUACACCGGGACUAAAGCAUCCCCCAUGAGUUACAAUAAAAGGAUUGUAUCCUCUACUCAGUCGGAUGUACUGUGUAGGUGAGAUGGUAAGGAAGCUAUGCGCGAGGUUUGAGGUUGUGGGUUGAAAUCCUACGCACCGCGCGCACACGCGCAUAUUUUGUGUGAAAAAUCAUGUGACUUGUGAUCGGCCAAGGAGAAGUGGGUGCAGCUGUGGCUUAAGUGGCUGAGGCACGCUGCCAUAGACAUCUCCGAUUUGCUCGAAGACUACCAAGACACUAGCAAUAACAAGAACUACUGCUCUUCCUAGCAGACUCUUUACAACCACUUUAAAGCUGUGCAUUUCUCAAUGUAAUUUCGUAGAAGGCAAUCGAUCCAACCAAGCGACUAAAUCAUUUGUUCUUGCCAAUGAUGUACAUCAGGUUUUCUAUAUGAAGGACAUGUCUAGCAAACCUAAGAUUUUAGAAGAAAAAGAAAAAUUAUGGGAGUCAAUAAUAAAUCAGGCCAAUCAGGAGAUUAUAGUAAGCUCGAUGGUAUGCCUCCAUUCGAUGUCGAAGUUGGCCCAAGCAUCAUGUUAGCCAAAGAUCAAAUGUUCGUGCAUUGCUACGGUAAAGAUCAAUUGUGUCUUUUAAACCCAUGGAAUUUUUUAUCUAUGUUUUUAUUACACUUAAUGGAUGUCUACACAUUUGCUAGAAAAUCAAAAUAAUUUUGACUUAAUUAUUUCUUUCAACUCAAAUACUCAUUAAAUUUCUACCUUUUUAUUUAAGCAAGAGAGUUGCUCAAAAAAUGGAUACGUAACCAUGUUGUAUCAUACAAAGCAACCACAUUUCACAUAUAGUCUGGCUUAGCAAACACCAUUGUUGUCUUAACAUAGUGUUCAUGAGUUAGUAGACAUGGAUCUAUUUCUAAUUGCAAGUAGUGCAGCGUACAACCAGCCUGCACCGCCGCAGCUCAAUAUGCGAUAAUUUUUUAUCUUCCCAUGUAAUUUUUCUACUCUAGUACAUAUUGAACUCCACAUAAAUGUCAUGUUCUUUCACGCCACAGACGGUUUCUAAAGUUUGGAACUAAAUAGAUAGCCAAAAAUUUUAAAAAAAUAUUUAUAUGGAUACAUGUAUGUUCUUUGCAAACUAACAAUAUUGUUUACAAUAUCAAAAGGAAUAUGGCUAUGAUCAUUGCCGCAUAUGGCAGGUGAUGGUAGAUGCCGUAUGGGGUUUCUUUAACUUAAUUGUAUAAUAAGCUGAAAUACAUUUUCUAUUUGCAAAUGAAUCAUAGCUGAAAGUGGUGGGAUUGUAGAACCGCCGGCCAUCGUGUCCUUGUAGGACCGCUGCACGAGCCUGUGAGCCACCAGCCACCAUGCGCCCAAGGGCCAUCACCACGCCAUAAGAGGAUGCUGUCUACCCGGUUUCGCGCGCCUGUGCUAGCUGCCUGAACCUGGGCCGCCGCCGGUCGCCUGCCCAGCCGCGCGUUGCGCCAGGGUUUUGCUGGUGACGACCAUGGCCUUCGCGAUCAAAUUAAAAAGUUAUCAACUGCAAAGUAUUAGGUCUCGUUGAGCUCUACAAUUUUGAUAUAAAGUUUCUAUUCAUCCGAGAUCAAAUAAAAAAUUUGAUACUCAAAGCAUAAAUCCAUUAAUCUAGUCUUGCUAAUCCUUACCACCAAAUAAAAAACUAGCAUGUGUUGUGUGUUUGUGACCCUAAACGAUCACAAAUGAAUAACUUAUGGGCCUUGCUAGCGCCCGGAUGUCCAGGCCGGGGCACUAGCAUCAGACCCACGAGUAGCCGUCCGAUCAGGUUCGACACCACUUCAGGAUCUGGCUUAAAAAGAAGUCCCACCGAAACAUUGUUCCAUGUUGCAUGAAGCAACCCACUACCGUCGCCAGGUCUAGAGCAAGCACCACCUUCAAAUGUGCUGCUCACCCUAGCUAAAUAGGGGCAUUAAAAUAUUUCUCGCAUAUCCUUCUCAAAUUAAACAAAAUCGCAACAUCUGAAAAUUUUUACAGAAAACCAUGAAACAUAUCGAUUAGAUAGAUGUAACAAGAUGGAAUAUGGUAUAUGCAACAUAUAGGUUCCGAAAAGCAGAUGAAAUAUUAUGUAAUGAUUCUUGAAACAGUCAAGAAAAAUAGAUGUAACAUCUAAAAUUAAGAAAAGAAGCUUUAUGCAAAUUGCAAAAAGCUGAAACAAGUGGUUGAAACAUUUCAAAUCACCAAAUGCCACAUUUGAAAUGACCAGAUGAAACAUCACGAAAUCAAUUGCAACAGUUGAAGAUGAAAACAUUCAAAUGCCUUGCCUUUCUCCAAAUUUGACCCUCCAAGCAUGAGUCCAGCCAUUUGCACAUUAGACCCUUGGGAGGAGCUCACCGGAGAACAACAAGACCGUGUUAUCCAACAAUUUUCAGAUCAAAUUGCAACAUAAAGAACAAAGCAUUGCAACAUCUGGCAUCACGAGCUACAACAGCAACCAGUUAGGAUCAGGAGAAAGAGGGCAAACACAAGCCUAACAAUGAGUUAUAUCCGGUUUAAACAAGGAUAAAAAUGAGUGUAUUUUACACUCAUCAUGUUGUCUUUUCGCAGCUGUACCGCCUUUAGCGUGUUGUAUUGUUCCUAACACCAAGUCUCCGAGGCCCGAAAAAAUAAGGAAAGUGGUAGCAGCUCAGAAAUCGACUAAGUUUCUUUCCCCCUUUGGCUUUCCUACUAGGAUUCGGAAUCCUCUUUCGUAUGACAAUCUUAAUGAUCUCCCAUAGUCCAAAACUCACAAAAACAUCAAAAAUCCACCGAGAAUAAAUUAAGUAAAAAAACAUGCACACACAGAUAAUAAUAGUAAUCAUGUUUCAUUAUGAUUGCUAAGGUCAGACACAAUACAUAAACAUAUUAGACUGAGUGACCCACCUCACCUCAGAGUAUGCACCAUGUCUGAGUGACCCACCUCACCUUGCCAGGACACUGGUCCUGCCCUCGUGGUUCACGCGCCCUCGUGGUUCAGCAGUGGUCAGUACACAAAUCUAGCUGCCAGUCGGAUCCAAGGGCAGGCAUUUGCAUUGUGGUUGUGUUUGAACAUGGAGAUGUCAUUAUUAUUGUCAGGCACCAUACAUCCUCUCUCAGUUUCACUCCGCCUCACACACGGAUAGCACACCAGGGACCCGACACCAUGCAUGCCGAUUUCAUAUUAUUAAUAUUUAAUUUUUUUAAUGGUUGUUGAAACUAUAUUGUUGAUAUUUUUAUACAUAAUUUACGACCUAAUUUGGAUAUAUUUUUGAAAUAUUCCGAAAUCUUAAAUUCACACGUCUAGAGAUACAGUUAGUCCAAUCUGAUGUUUCCGAUUAUAAAAAUGAACAUAAAGAGAUAGGAAGCGAGAGACGUGAGGGGGAAAGUUAAAUUAGGGCCUAAGGGGUGAAGUUAGGGUUCCAGGUGAGCUGUCAUCACUACGUGUUUUUAAUCGAAAUUGGAAUGUCAGCAAUCGUCAGAUCUUGAGCCAACAGUUGAGACUGCCUCGGAAUGGUAAUUAGGUCUGCGCGAGCUUGCAUUGUGGCCUUCCUUGAAACCUUGGACAUAGGUGUUAUAUUAUUAUGUUCUUGCCAGCACACAGCAGUGAAGGACGACACAGUUGAGAUGUGCAUCACAUUUUCUAUAUGAAGGAUAUGUUUAGCAAACCUAAGAUUUUAGAAUAAAAAGAAAAAUCAUGGGAGCCAAAGCGCCACAUAGUUCUUCCAGGUAAAAAAAAAUCAUCCACUGGACCAGCACAUAGUAACGAUCCAAAAAGUCCAUAUUAAGAUUUUUUGAUAGCAGAAAAAACAUAAAAUGUCUAAUAUUUGUAGUAUUAAAAGGAAAAAUAAUAUAUUCACGUGACCUUUUUCCCGUAGCAAGGCACCGGUACGUGGUCAGACUUAAUGCACGAUGCCUAAGCAUCCAUUGGGCCUACCCUCGUGUGGAUCACGCGCAACAGGACACGGCUCACAAGCUAUGAUGUGCAGCAGUCGCUCAGAUGGCUGAAAGGUACCCUUAAUUUGAAUGGUACCAUAUAUAUAUAUAUAUAUAUAUAUAUAGUAAACAAGACAAACCACCGUUGAUACUACUUUGCACUACUUGAUACAUAUAUCUCCACCAAAAGCGAGGCACGUGGGGAGGAGAGAUAUGUGGUUGAUGGUGCGGGCACGUGGCGAGUGCACCGUACGAAAAUUUUGCUCGUGUCGGACGACUGAUGUGAAGCAUUACCCAAUCUUAAUUAUCUCCCAUAAUCCAAAACUCACAAAAACAUCAAAAAUCCGCCGAGAAUAAAUUAAGUAAACCAUGCACACACAGAUAAUAAAAUUGCUAAUAAGGCCAGAGACAAUACAUAAACAUAUUAGACUGUUCAUGACACAUAUCACGGUGGAUAGUGUCUGUGUCCUUAUUACAAGCAAUGAGAGAUGCUUGUCACCACACACACGCGCACAGAUGCACAACAUACAUAUAGUUGAGACCAACAGAUGGAUCAACUAGAGGUCACCCCAUAUGGUGAACAAUUUAUUGGAGAUAAACAUUAACAUAACUUGGCCAUAGCUUGAAGCAUAGCAACAUAUGCCUAUGAACGGCGUUCAUGCUAUCAUUUUAGGCUUGUCCGCUUCUUCCAUCUUAGCAAGCACUUCCAUUUCUACCAUCUUAGAAGCAACUGUCAAAUUGAGAUAUGGAAAUCCCAUUAGCGCAUGAGUUAAUUUUGCAGUGAAAAUAGAGUACAAGAUAUCUUCAUGAUGUAAGUAACAUGCCUGAAGUUGUGAGAUGGGAAGUGAAGUCAACAAAUUACAUUAACGGAAAUGCAUGGAAGGCCACACAUACGUAUUAGUCCAUGAUAUGCUACAAAGCUUGUAUGUACAUAUAGCAAAUUAAAUGCAUUAAUUGAAUAGAGUGAGUUUAGUGAAUUUACCAGAAUCGUCCAGAAAACAUGGGAAACAGCAAGUGUUCUUGCAGACUGCGUCGGUGCCACCCACAGCAAUACAACCAAAACAACAUGCUUUUGCCCGAGCGGCUGCGCAGCAGCCGCACUCUGCCGCGGUGGCCGAGUUAGCAUUGAGGCUCAAGAUGACCAGGCACAUGAUCACCAUCAAAGCGGUGGUAGUCCUCUUUCCCUCCAUUGCCUCCUCUUGCUGCUACCUUCCUUGGUUACCUAGCUAAGUUUAUUGGUUUUGUGUUGAGAGGUGAUUCUUGCAUUGAAUGGACGUUGCCGCGGCUGCAAUUUAUAGGCAGCUGCGCUAUGUGAUGAUAUGGACAAGGUGCAAAUGGGUGGUCCUGAUAUGGAUAAGGUGCAUGCGAAUGGCUGUCUACUUGUAUAGUGGCGCUCCAAUGUACAUACGUAUGUAUCUUAUGCAUGUAUACAGUUGAUGGAUGUACAUGUUUGUUGCACAAAUUAUUCUGAACCAACUCUUCAUAACAGGUCUUUGUUACCAAGUAAUUUUACUUUUGCACGUUUCAGCCGAGAGGCAGAAGAGAAUAUUUUACAGAGAGGGCAGAGAAGGAGGUUGGCGGAGGCGCCGUGGUAGGGUUCCCCGUGUCGCCAAGAUUUUUGCAUUUUAGAUGUGUGUAUUGAUCACUUCGUCGUGCUCGCGGGGCCCAACUCCAGGUUGUACCCCAGCAGACCACGUUCUGUUUCUCUGCCUCCAAUGAGCAUGCAUGCCUCCACAAGGACCACAAGACUUAGUAAAAAAGCUAAACUUUGCAACACGAUGUAUACAGAACGUUUUGAAAUGUACUCUCGUUAGGCAUUCACCUCCUUAACAAUCACUGCGACUGUAAAAGAGGUACAUCGACGCUAGCUAAAUAAACCACUAUAAGAUUUAGCAAGAGAUCAUUUUAUACAAUCCUGUAACGAAACAAUUUGACAAUUAUAGUGUCCAUAUAUUUUGACAAAAAAACGUUUAAAUUAUAUAAGGAGGUGGGCCCGAAAACGGUUGGAUUACAUCGAGAACGUUUUGAAACAGUUGGCGGAGCAGGAUUCUGGCGUGGAGCAUCUACAUUGUCGCGCGCGCGGACUGCCGGAGUAGGCACGCUCGACUUGUCCCAUCGCCAGCUAAAUGAUUUAGUACCGGAUGGUCUCUAGUACCGGUUGGAGCUACCGUCCACCAGGAGCUUUUCUAGUUUGGAACUGGUACUAAUGCUAAUAUUAGUAUCAGGUCAAAAACAAUCGGUACUAAGGCUAGGGAUGACACGUCAUUUUUCUAGUAGUGUGUGCAAUUGGUUUUGUAAUUAGUCUAUAUUUAAUACUUCUAAUUAGUAUCUACACAUUUUAUGUGACAGGGACUGAACUUUAGUCCGUGGAACCAAACACCCCAUAAGUAUGUUUGGUGCUGUAAGGAUUUCGGUUUUAUUUAAUUUCCUAGGCAUUUAAAUUUCUUUCUAAAAUAAGUUAAUGAAUCAUAGGAUCUCAUUGUUGUAUUCAAGCUGGUGCAUUGAUUUUGCCUAUAAAACCCGCCGCGGUCUUCGCAGCCCCCAUCAAACCCUAGCGCCCUUGCCACAAGCUCAGCACCGCUGCCGCCCGAGCUCGAGCACUAGCACCCACCCAUCGCCGUUGCCUUCCCGUCGAUGGGAUCACCGCCCGGAGCUUCGCAUCGUGGUAAGGAAGCCGCCCGUGAAGAUCCCAUGUGCUCCUAUGCCCUCUACCGCGUCCCCGAGUUCCCGGAGUUGCUAGUCUCCCACCGAGCCGACUCUCCGAGCUUCACGUCACUGGUGCCGCUCCGAAGACCUAGUUCGGUUCGCCAUGCACCUCGCUUCAUCCUGAGCUAAACCCCAUAAUGAAUGGUGGUCGGAUGCUCGCCGCCACGGCGCGUCGUCUUUUCUGUCGCCCGUGCAUUGCCUAUCCCCUUCCAGCCGAUUGCAGCUGUCCGAUCGCAAACCGGUGGCCCUGAUCGGAUACCAAGGUCAAUACCGGUCGAACCGAGCCGUGCGCUGCUUUUGCAAGAAGGCCCCUGUUUUUCUCUCUUUUUGCACCUGAGGUCCUACGCAGUUCAAAAGUAAUAAGAUCUAGGUCCUUUUUCUUUUGUUUUAGCCCGUGUUCUUUUAUAAAAUCCCGCCCACUAUUCUGUUUGGUCUUUUGACGCGUUAGACCUUCUUUUUAUAUGUUUAAUUAGGUUUUAGGUCUCGAUUUCUUUAAGUUUAGCCCUUGAAAGUUUAGUUCUCUCGCAGUUAAGCCCCUGAACCUUGUUUAGCUCAUAUCUUAAGCGUUUUAAAUCCGUUUUAACAGAUUCUUGCGCCUAUAAGUUCAUGUUGACGCAUAGAUUAGUUGACUUAUACGAACCUUGCUGAUUCAGCUCCUUGAUUGUGCUUCAGAUCUCGCUAGGGAAGAAUAAUGGAUGGGCUUUGGUUGAGCUUGUAGAUCGACUUGCAGUUGCAGUGAAUGAGCAGAGGAUUGGCAGUGAAUAAGAUCAGGCCGCUGCCCUGCUUGGUAGGGAAAAUAUCUGCUUGCUACCAAGGCCUGUGACGCAUGGACCCCAUUGAGAGUGCAUUAUUGACAAGGACUUAAAGCCAAGGGCUCCACACCUGUCAUUGAUCAGCUGUCUGCUGGGCGCUGCAAGGAGGUAGUGCAUGUUUGACAUAAAGAAGCAGGUGGCCCAGGAUUUACGAAAAAUAAGGAUCUAUUUGAUACCCUUGCUUAUAUUUAGGGGCUAAAAGUUGCUUAUUUGAAGUUGCUUAUUUUUAAUCCUAGCUGUUUGAUUGCAUGGGCUAAAGAGCAUUGAAUGAGGUGGAUAUUGUCAUGUUUGCCUCUAAUGAUUGCUUCCCAUCACAUUUCUCCCCCCUCAUUCAACGAGGGAAGGAGGUGUAAAGUGCACCUUUUAGCCCCGAUAAGUAACCCUUGUGUUGUUUACGGGCUGAACAUAAGUAGCUAAAGUUUAGCUCCAAUAAACAAGAGUGUUUGGUAUUUUUGGGGUUAAAAGGGGCUAAACUUUAGCUGCUUAUGCAUAAGCAAGGCCAUCCAAAUAGGCCCUAAGUAUGUUUGGCGUUGUAAGUAGGUUUUAUUUAAUUUCCUAGGCAUUUAAAUUUCUUUCUAAAAUAAGUUAAUGAAUCAUAGGAGUUCAUUGUUGCAUUCACGCUGGUGCAUUGAUUUUGCCUACAAAACCUGCUGCCGUUUCCGCAGCUCCCAUCAAACCCUAGCACCCCCGCCACGAGCUCCAGCGCCGCUGCCGCCCGAGCUUGAGCACUAGCGCACACCCAUCGCCGUCGCCUUCCUAUCAAUGGGAUCACCGCCCGGAGCCCGUGUCAUGGUAAAGAAGCCGCCCGUGAAGAUCCCGUCCACUCUCGUGCCCUCUACCGCGUCCUCGAGUUCACCGGAGUUGCCAGUCUGCCACCCAGCCGCCUCUCCGAGCUUCAUGUUGUCGUUGCCACUCUAGCUGCCUCUCUGAAGACCUAGAUCGGUUUGCCGUGCACCCCGCUUCAUCCUGAGUUAAACCCCAUCAUGCCACGUCAUAGUAAGGAAGCUGCUCAUGAAGAUCCCGUGCGCUCCCGUGCCCUCUACCGCGUCCCCAAGUUCACUGGAGUUGCUAGUCCACCACCGAGCCGCCUCUCCGAGCUUCACUUCACAGUCGCUGCUCCAGCCACCACUCUGAAGACCUAGAUCAGUUCGCUGUGCACCCCACCUCAUCCUGAGCUAAACCCCAUGACGAACUGUGGUCGGAUGCUCAUUUUCGAGUGAAUUCCGGCGAGAUGGUCGCCCGCCGCCGCCAUCUCCAUCGCCCAUGCACCGCCUGUCCCCUUCCAGCCGAUGUCCGAUUGCAAACCGAUAGCCGAAAUCGGAUGUGGUCACCAGGAUUAAUACCAGUCAAACUAAGCCACGCGUGCCGCUUUUGCAAGAAGGCCCCUAUUUUUCCCUCUUUUUGCACUUGAGGUCCUAUGCAGUUCAAAAGUAAUUAGAUCAAGGUCCUUUUUCUUAUGUUUUAGCCCUAUUCUUUCAUAAAAUCCCGGCUGCCAUCCUGUUUGAAAUAGAUACGGUUAUAGAUAUGCAAACAUCUGCAUAUUUCCAACCGUAUCUCUUUCGAACGGGAGACGCCUAACUAGGUUACGUGACAUACGAACAUCAUACGGAUAGAGAGGGGUAGGAUGUCUCACCUUGCUAUCCUACAAAGUGACGACUCGAGGACAGUAAUGUAGCCUCUCCUUCAAAAAAAGAACAUACUACUAUCAAGUUAAAUUUUUGACAGCACCUCCCCUGCACGUGGAGGUUUCCAUAACCUGCAUCAAAUAAAACGGCACGAUGGCUGACAACCACAUCUACAGCACCAGAAUGGCACGAUGGCCGACUUCCACAUAAAGUUCUUAUACCUUAGAUUGCCAAGUCAAACAUCCUUUUCUAAUUUCUAAAACAAAAGCCCUCCCACCUCUCUAUCUUAUACUUUCCUAUUUACUAAUUGCUUUUGUAAUUUCUAAUUUCUAUUUCAUCCUACCACCUCUGUACCCUUUUCUCAUUUCUAAUUCCAAUUUUCUAACUUGAAGAGCAAAGAUUGAUUACUAGGAGGGGUGAGGGACGCCGGCCUAGAGAGGCGAGGGGACGUCCGGCGGCGGCGGGUGCGUCGGGGGUAGGAUGCCAGGGGCGGCUGCAGGGGCGCCGGGUUGGGGGCGGCCGGGAUCGAGGGCACCAGUAGCGGGGGCACCGGGCCGGGGGCGGCCGGCGGGGCGGGACGCCAGGGCCGGGGCGACGGGCGCCGGUGGCGAGGCCGCCCGGCCGGUGGUGGCCGGCGUGGCGCCUGGGCCGGGGGGGGGGGGCGGGCGGGGUGCGGCGCGGCGCGCCGGGGCAGGGCGCCGAGGCUGGGUGGUGGGGUACGGGGCGGCGGGCGGGGGGUGGGGGGAGGGUCGGCGGCGGGGCGCGGGGGCGGCCAGCGGCGACGGCGGAGGGCGUCGGUGGUGUUUCGGAAGUGAUACGGAGGGGGUAGAGAGAUUCGUUUUCGCGGCUGAGUGUUCGAGUCAGAAGGCCGUGCGGCUUAAGUCAGGUGGUUUGCCGAGUGCGCGCGAUCUGGCACUCGGCAAAGUCAGAAGUUUUGCCGAGUGUCAGAUCGCGGGCACUCGGCAACUGCAGCUUUUGUCGAGUGCCCUGGAUUCGGCACUCGGCAAAGUGAAGUUUUAAUUUUUUUUAAAAAAAUUUAAUCGGAACACGGGCGUGCCAGCGGGCCCGUGACAUACUUUGCCGAGUGUGUAGCAAAAACACUCGGCAAAAUAUUAUCUUUACCGAGUGUUUUCGCUAGGCACUCGGCAAAGUACACUUAUAUUUCAUGUACACUUUUUCAAUAACGUGUUUUACUAACCUUUUUCUGAUAUACUUGGGAAAAACCUUAUCAAAUUCACUCAACAAUGGAUAUAUGGUUUUUCUACUGACAUUAUUCCAUUAUUUCAUUCAGUUAUAGCUCAAAUUGAAUUUAUAUCUAUUAAAAAUCAAUAAUUGCAUUUAAUAAAUAAAAAAUACCAAACGGAUCUGAAAAAUUUCCAAAAUUUGACAUGAACCAAUCUAUGUUGUAUGUUGCCUGUACAAAAAGCUUUGAAGUCAAACCCCAAUUCAAGUGUCACUUGGACUCCAAAUCUUAUCGGAUCCUUUCUAACUUCUAUGAAUCCUUUCGGGAGAUGAGUCGGUUUGUAAGCAUCAUAUGUCAUAAAUUGGGCGAAACCUUCUCAAUUUUUUACCACAGCCUCCACAUAUAAUAUCAUGACACCUUGACAAAUCUUGUGAUUUUCAGACUUCGUUUGCUUUUUUUAGAAUUUAACAACCAUUCAACCACAUGUUCGUGAUCGUGUUUUCUAAAAAAAUGUUCAAAAUUUCUUUUCAUUUCCUGGUUGAGACCUCAAUCCGGAUUGAAUAAUAUGAAUAUGAUUUUUUCACUGAUUUUAAUCCAUUAUUUAAAUCACUUGCAGUUAAAUUUGACUUAAAUAAACAAAUUCCUAUUAAUGCUAUCAAUUCAUUAAAAAUAGCAAACAGAGAAAAAAUAGACCAACUUUUAAGAUGGAUUACCAAAUGUCAUAUGUGGGGAGUAGAAAAAGUGUGGAGAGCAGAGGUGGAAAAAAAAGUUUUGCCUUUGCCAAGUGCCUACACAAACACUCAACAAACUUUGCGGAGUGCCUAUUGAAAACACUCAGCGAACUUCUGAGUUUGCCGAGUGUCUGGAGGGAGCACUCGGCAACCUACUUAUUUGCCGAGUGUCCGCGUCGGACACUCAGCAAAGUACUAACGGCUGGCACACUCCCCUAACGGACGGCGCACGUGCAAGCCAUGUGCUGGAGAUUUAUCGAGUGUCAAAUCGUUGCCGAGUGUCGUGUGGAUGUUUGCCGAGUGUCUUAUUUGUGACACUCGGCAAAGCUAUUGUUUGCCGAGUGUAUUAUUUAUGCCGAGUGUCUUCCAGUAUACACUCGGCAAAUGAUGUCUUUGCCGAGUGCUCGACAUAAAGCACUCGGCAAAAAUUUUACACUCGGCAACAUUCCUGUUUCCGGUAGUGAGUGACCCGGGACUAAAGACCCCCGUUGUCUCUGAUUGCUUUAUUCCGGAUGGAUUUUCAGGAGAUUUGCUCCCUACCAAUAGGGACUAAAGGCAAGUUUUCCACUUAUAGCAAACCAGUUAGCCCAUUGUUGAUGGAACGCAUCACUAGAAACAGCUCGGGAUCCACUUGUCCAAUAAUCGAGAGGGCCUAUAUAUGGACCACGUGUGCGGAUCCCUAAUUAGGAAAAAAGAAUAAUGGAGUAGGACAUCUCCAUGCUCACCUAGUAGCCGCUGCUAGCUUGUGCGUGUGGAACACGAGUGCCGGCCCAGUUGGCGCUAAGACAUCGUACGUGCAUUAAGGCUACGAUCUCUUUCUUCUAACUCAUGCUUGUGCUAUUAUACAUUAUUGCAUGAUCAUCAAGAUAAGAUCGUAUAGUGACUGAGUGAGACAUGUAUGUACUAACAUGCAUUUAAGCCUCGAACUGUGUGUUGUUACGUGAGCUGCCUCCUCACCUCGCCUCUGAAUUAUUGAACCGUUUCCAACAGUGUUGGUCUCAAAUAAAUUUGACACCAAACAGAUUUAUGAAGAAGAGAGAAUAAUACUUGGAAUUGGAAAAAGUUUAUCUCUCUUUACAAUGGAGUAGGGCUCCCUUUUAUAGUGACCCAUAAGCCACUUUACAUUUGGAAAAUGUCCUUCCUCAACCACUACAUUAAUUCCUAGGAUAUGCUGUACAUAAAGGUCAUUUGAGGUAACGUGUACAAAUGAACUCUUCCACAUGGUCACGUUUCUCAUGCCUCCUGUUUUCCAACCUCGAGACAUCAUCUUCACGCCAAGUUGAUCAUCUAGCCUCGAGGCUCCAUCCACGAUCCAGAAUGAACGUCCAGGCUUGAGGCUCCUUCUUCGUUAAGCUUUGUUGAGAACUCAUAACCUCACAUAGUUCUCCUCCGAGUAUUGUUCCCGACUCAGAACACUCGAGGUUUAGCUCAGUUGGAGUUUAGCUAUUACUGUUGCUAGUCACCAGCCUCGAGCCCCUCCAGAAGCAAGGUGAUGCGAGGGUACGAGUUUUACUAUUAAAGGUGUUUCCAUAGAAUGUGCGAGGUUAAAGCACUUGCAGCAAAAGCGUGGAGCUGCUUUCAACCAGAGUGCAAUAAUGCAGCCGUGCCCAUCUUGGUCUUGGUCUCCGCCUGAACUAUAGCAGAUGCUGGCAGCGGUAGCAGGGUGGUCCAUUAUAUCUAUGGAUGGCAAUGGUCGGAUUCGGAUGGAAUCGAAUUCGAAUAGCACUUUUUACCACAUACUAAUUCAAAUCCGAAUUCGGAUUCGGAUGUUCUCGAAUGCGAAUGCAAAAUGGAUGGUUCGAAUUCGAAUACUUAGCGGAUUUUUGCAUAAUAUUAAUCGAAUAGAAUUCAUUAAAUUUAGCCAAGAAAUUAAAUUUUCUGAAAUUAAAUACUUUCCCUUCGCCCCAGCGGCGGCCUAACUCCCAGGACGGUGGCGUGCGGGGCCCGAGCAUCCCUGGCCUCUAGUGGCGUGGCGGGGCGGCAUCCAGCAGCAGCGGCGGGGCUCGGCCUCCGGUGGCGCGCGGCCAGCCCGACCUACCCGGUCAGAGGUGGCGCAGCGGUGCGCGGGCCUCCCCGACCAGAGCCGGUGGGGAGCGGUGCGCGGGGAGGACCUCCCCAGCCGGAGGUAGCAGGGCGCGACCUCCCCGGCCGGAGGUGGCUCCCUGUGGGGGCGCGGCCGUGACAGCUAGCGAGGCAAUAAUUGCUUCCGUACGCAGCAAUAAUUGCUUGUGCGACACCGUGUUAUUACUCUGGUACAGUACUCCCUCCGUUGCAGUACACUGGUCCAGGCGUCAGGACACUGCUCCUGCCCUCGUGGUUCACGUGCAUCAGGCCAGCAGACAAGCUAUGAUGUUGCCAACAGUGUUUGUUUGAACAUGGAGAUGUCAUUGUGAUUGUCAGGGACCCGACACCAUGCAUGCCGAUUUCAUAUUCUUAAUAUUUAUUUUUUUAAUGGUUGUUGAAACUAUAUAGUUACUCCAAUAUCACGUUUCCGAUUAUAAAAAUUAACAUAAAGAGAUCGGAAGGGAGAGCCCGCAUAAUGAAGCCGACGCGUAUAAUAAGCACUAGAGCCGGCAUUUAUACAAACGGGUACGCAUAGUAAAAACUAGAAUUUAUAAAUAAAUGAAGAUAUUCAAAUAUCUGGCUUACUUUUUUCAUUAAUUUUGCAUGAAUAAGGGAUGAUUCAUUAAUCAUUAUUGAACAAAUUGGCACACAUGCUUCGUGCCCGCGUUGUGAGCAUUAUGCGAUGCCACUGAGCUGCACCACCACGGUAGAGGGCCUGUUUGCGAUGCCACCGAGCUGCACCACCACGGCAGAGGGUCUGUUUGGGAAGGGGAAGUUAAAGUUUAACACCCCCCAUUUAACACCUUUUUAACAAAAUGGCUGCUAAACACUUGUGUUAAAAGAGUAGUGUUAAAAUUUAACACCUCUCUUUUCAUAAACACAUGGAGGGGGUGUUAAAAUUUGCUAAAUGUGUUAAAAGUGGUCCCCUCCCCACUUAUUCCUUGGUUGCCCCCCUCUCUCUCCUCCUCUCUCUCCUACCCGCCGCAUUUAAGAGCAUUAUUGAGGGGUAAUGCAGUCCUUUUCCAACAAAAGUGUUAAACUUUAACAACCCUUCCCAAACAUGCCACAAGCAACACCACCGGCUGACUGUGCUAGCGGGGAGCACCCUCACCGCCUGCCCGUGGGGACUUCUUCUGCCGGCCAUCGUGUCUUUGUAGGACCGCCGCGUGAGCCUAUGAGCCACCGGUGGCCGUGCGCCCAAGGGCCAUCACCAUGCCACCUGAGGAUGCUGUCUACCCGGUGCCGCGUGCCUCUGCUAGCUGCUUGCACCUGGGCCGCCGCUGGUCGCCUGCACAGCCACGCGUUACAGCCGCCCCCCUGCGCUGGGCCACCCCAUUUCGUGUUGGAAGAACUGCCACAGUCUCGCGCACUGGGGUUUUGCUAGUGACGACCAUAGCCUCCAAGAUCAAAUGAAAAAGUUGGUACUCAAAACAUACAUCCAUUAAUCUAGUCGUGCUAAUCCUUACCACCAAAUAAAAACUAGCAUGUGUUGUGUUUUUGUGACCCUAAACGAUCACAAAUGAAUAACUUAUGGGCGUUGCUAGCCUAUAAGUUAUGGGCGUUUGUGACCCUAGUCGCGCCGGGGUCUUGCUGGUGACAACCAUGGUCUUCGCGAUAAAGUAUUAAGUCUCAUCGAGUUCUACAAUUUUGAUAUAAAAUUUCUAUUCAUCCGAGAUCAAAUGAAAAACAAAUGAAAAAAUCCGAAGUAUUAGGCUUCAUCGAGCUCUACAAUUUUGAUAUAAAAUUUCUAUUCAUCCGAGAUCAAAUGAAAAAAUCCGAGAUCAAAUGAAAAGUUGGAACUCAAAACAUACAUCCAUUAAUCUUGAUAUAAAAUUUCUAUUCAUCCGACAUCAAAUGAAAAAGUUGGUACUCAAAAUAUACAUCCUUUAAUCUAGUCGUGCUAAUCCUUACCACCAAAUAAAAAAACUAGCAUGUGUUGUGUGUUUCUGACCGUAAACGAUCACAAAUGAAUAACUUAUGGGUGUUGCUAGCGUCCCGGACGCUAGCAUCGGACGCAUGAGCAGCCGUCCGAUCGGGUCCGACACCACUUCACGAUCUGUCUUAAAAAAAAGUCCCACCGAAACAUUGUUCCAUGUUGCAUGAAAUACCCCACUAUCCAUCGCCAGGUCUACAGCAAGCACCACCUUCCAAUCUGCUGCUCACCCAAGCUAAAUAGGGGCAUUAAAAUUGCAGAAAUAUGUCACAUAUCCUUGUCAAAUUAAACUAAAUCGCAACAUCCGAAAAUUUCUUACACAAAACCAUGAAACAUAUCGAUUAGAUAGGUGUAACAAGAUGGAAUAUGGUAUCCAACAUAUAGAUUCCGAAAAACAGAUGAAACAUUAUGUAACGAUUGUUGAAACAGUCGAGAAAUAUAGAUGUAACGAUUAAAAUUUAGAAAAGAAGCUUUAUGCAAAUUGCAAAAAGCUGAAAUAAGUGGUUGAAACAUUUCGAAUCACCAAAUGCCACAUUUGAAAUGGCUACAUGAAACAUCACGAAAUCAAUUGCAACAGUUGAAGAUGAAAACAUUCAAAUGCCUUGCCUUUCUCCAGAUUUGACCCUCCAAGCAUGAGUCCAGCCAUUUGCACAUUAGACCCUUGGGAGGAGCUCACCGGAGAACAACAAGACCGUGUUCUCCAACAAUUUUCUGAUCAAAUUGCAACAGACAAAACAAAGCAUUGCAACAUCUGGCAUCACGAGCUACAACAUCAACAAGUUAGGAUCAGGAGAAAGAGGGAAAACACAAGCCUAACAACCCCAAGACAAAACUGAUGUACUCAUCAUACAUCACGGCUUGCCGUGCACAGAGAUGAAGGCCGCCAAGCUCAAUCGAGACAGAGACGACGUGAUAGUGCUCCAGAUCGACGGUCCCCAUCAAUUGUUGCGUACACUGCCAAAAGCAAUGGAAGAAGAAGGGUCGUCCCUGCUCGACCUCCGUAGAUGAGCGCAGAUUGGGGGAAACCGUAUAGAGUGCCGCUGACAGCACAGGCGAGGGGGCUCAGGCUUGAUUCAGGGUGAGGGUAGCGGGUAGCAUGAGGAGACAGUCAGGUUUCAUAGGAGAGAGGCGGAGUAGAGAGCUCUGGUGACUCGGUGAGGAGGGUGCGGCACGGAGAAAGGUGUGUAGCUGAAGGAGCUACAUGGUUGGGGCGAGGCGAGCGUAGAGACUAGAGAGGGAAAAAAAGCAUGGGGAGGAGACGAUAUGUGGUUGAUGGUGCGGGCACGUGGUGAGCGCACCGUAUGAAAAUUUUGCUCGCGUCGGAUGACUGAUGUGAAGCAUUACCCAAUCUUAAUUAUCUCCCAUAAUCCAAAACUCACAAAAACAUCAAAAAUCCGCCGAGAAUAAAUUAAGUAAACCAUGCACACACAGAUAAUAAAAUUGCUAAUAAGGCCAGAGAUAAUACAUGAACAUAUUAGACUGUUCAUGACACAUAUCACGGUGGAUAGUGUCUGUGUCCUUAUUACAAGCAAUGAGAGAUGCUUGUCACCACACACACGCGCACAGAUGCAUGACAUACAUAUAGUUGAGACCAACAGAUGGAUCAACUAGAGGUCACCCCAUAUGGUGAACAAUUUAUUGGAGAUAAACAUUAACAUAACUUGGCCAUAGCUUGAAGCAUAGCAACAUAUGCCUAUGAAUGGCGUUCAUGCUAUCGUUUUAGGCUUGUCCAGCUUCUUUCAUCUUAGCAAGCACUUCCAUUUCUACCAUCUUAGCAGCAACUGUCAAAUUGAGAUAUGGAAAUCCCAUUAGCGCAUGAUUAAUUUUGCAGUGGAAAUAGAGUGCAAGAUAUCUUCAUGAUGUAAAUAACAUGCCUGAAGUUGUGAGAUGGGAAGUGAAGUCAACAAAUUACAUUAACGGAAAUGCAUGGAAGGCCACACAUACGUAUUAGUCCAUAAUACGCUACAAAGCUUGUAUGUACAUAUAGCAAAUUAAAUGCAUUAAUUGAAUAGAGUGAGUUUAGUGAAUUUACCAGAAUCGUCCAGAAAACAUGGGAAACAGCAAGUGUGCUUGCAGACUGUGUCGGAGCCACCCACACGAAUACAAAGCUGACAACAUGCUUGUGCCUCGUGGGAUACGCAGCAGCCGCACUGUGCCGCGGUGGCCGAGUUAACAUUGAGGCUCAAGAUGAACAGGCACAUGAUCACCAUCAAAGUGGUAGUCCUCUUUCCCUCCAUUGCCUCCUGUCGCUGCUACCUUCCUUGGUUACUAGUAAGUUUAUUGGUUUUGUGUUGAGAGGUGAUUCUUGCAUUGAAUGGACGUUGCCGCGGCUGCAAUUUAUAGGCAGCUGCGCUAUGUGAUGAUAUGGACAAGGUGCAAAUGGGUGGUCCUGAUAU
rnacentral:lncRNA from 1 species